UUUUUUUUUUUUUUGGUUUGUUGUCGCCGUCUUCGUCAAUGACAAUGAUGUUGCAGAACCACCCCGUUUCUUAUAUGUACUUUUAGAUCAUCUUACAAUGCCCAAAAUUGGUAACAAUUAUGAACCAUCAUGUUGUCAAAAAAUAGGAAAAAUCCAGGGUAUGGAUUCGGUGACCAUCAAAUUUGUAAGUGUAUGGUAAAGUUUAGACCCAUCCAUGAUACAAAAUAUAUGAUAUUAAGUUACAAAUAAAUGAGGAGAGGUAUUUUUGUAAUUUUGAUGAUAAAGUUUAGACUGUUUAAUAAUGCAAAAUAUAGGAAAUUAAGGGGUAUGUGAUAAAAUUUAAUACUUAUUAUUUAAUGAUUUAAGUUGAUUUUAAGUUAAAUUAUUUUUAGGUUAUUAAUUUAAAACUUAUCAUUAAAUUCAUAUUUUAAAUAUUAAGAUUAUUUGAUAAAAUUAACUUAAAAUACAUUUUAAAUCAUUAAAUCAACAUAUUUAUCCUCAUAAAUUAUAACUAAGGUAAAUGAAGUUAAGUUAUAUUAGAGAUGAUGAAAUAGCAAAUGAGAUUAUGAAGAUAAUUAGGGUAAAAAAGUAAAACAAAUAUGUAGACUUAAACAUAAGUUAAUUGAUUUUGCUUAUUACUAAAAUUAUUUUUUAAUUUAAGUUAUAUCAUUCAGUUAUUUUAUAAAAUAUAUUUAAUUUACUUAUUGAUUUAAAUUAAGUUAUUAAAUCACUUUAAUUAUUAAAUUUAAUUAUUAAAUGCCCACUGAAAUAUAAAAAGAUACAAUAAAAGUUGAAUACAAAGUAAUAAAAUCAAAUUGUAUACAUGGUAUGUUGUGAUUGAUCUCGCUUUCUAGUAUUACCAUCCUCUUUGUACUCAGCUAUCCAAUUUCGCUUGAAUUUCUCCUUAAAAAAAAUAAUAAAUUUUUUAUUACACUUGAUUUCACGAGAGUAUUCAAAUUAAGUUUUCAUAUUUUAUUUUAUAAUAAAAAAAAAUGAAAGGAAAUCAAAUAAAAUAGAAAUAAGUUAAAAAUAUAUGAAUUUUUAAAAUAUUUAUCCUUUAUAUAGAGAAGAUUAAAUAAGAAAAUAAAUUUAAAUAAUAUAUAAAAAUAAUUUAUUAAUUCUAAAAUUAUUUUAAUUUUUCCCCUUUUUUUCGCAAUAUUUUUCCUAAAAUUUUGCGGGAGGAAAGGUAGCAUUUCCGACCUAGAAAAUCAACUAAGUUAACUGAAACUUUUUAUUCCCAAAAUACCCUUACCUUGUAGCCAUAUUCUCAGAAAAGCCCUCCACACUUUCUCAGUUUGCGUGACACAUGAAAAUGAAAAACGAAGAAACUCUCAUUUCCAUCUGCAAAUACAAGUCUAAUGCUCUCUCAGAUCUUCUCCUGCUCCUCCUGGAACCAUGUCUUCCUCCUCAGACUCCGAAUCCAACCCAGGGACAACCCCACGCCACGUCCACUCUCUCUCUUCCACUCCGAAAAGUUCCCCGCUUUUCCGAGAUUCCGGUUCCGGAUCGGCCCAGGAAUCUUCGUCCCUCUCCCGGUUACAUAGCGCCCACAGGUCGAGUCAGGACGAGAAGAUUCACCCACGAGCGAGGAGGAAGGUGGGUCGGGUUUGGCACAGGAGGCGAGUGAAGGUGAUUGUGGGUGUAAUUGGAUCGGUGGGUUUAUUUUUCUUAACGAAUUGGUGGAUGCUUUCGCGCCUUUACGAUGCGGGCCACGGUGUUAAGAGCAGCUCAAGAAUUGCGAAUUCGUCUUUGAUUUCGGUUCAGGUAAGUUAAUGGAACUCAAUUUGGAGAUGGGGUUGUAAUACAGUUCGUGAUUGAAGGAAAUGGGGAUAGCGUUAAUUAUUAAUUUCAGCAUUGAAUUUGCAUCCAUAUAUGCGAAUUACGAGAGGAAAAUACUUGUUUCCAUGAAGCUUUUGAAAAAUGAUAACAAUGGUGGCAAUUUUAUUUAUUUUUAAAUUGAGAUGAAUUGAGGGGUCAUUGCUAUUUCUCUUGAUAUAUUACAUUUUGUUGUAAGAUUUUGAGUGGUAAUAUUUGGUACAAGAGUUAGCCAGAAGUUAUACAUUUCUUUGUAAAUUUGGGUUAUUAAUGAGGUUGCUAAAUUUUCUUUUGGUUAUUCGUUUGGGUGACAUGCAGGGAGGAUUGAAAAAGCUUAAUAAAGGGAAAAGGCCGCAGAUUCAUUCCCGGAUGCUGGCAUUGGCAGCCCAUGCCUUGGCUGAUGUAGGUUUUGGAUAUGAGUUGAAGAAUGCUUUUUCCAUACUGAUAAUUUUUGCCAAAAAUCUAUACUAGCUAAGAUGGAAAGGGGGCUUUAUAUUAAAGAUUUUUCUUCAGAUGGAAUUGCCACAUAUUCUUAGUAUGGGAUUUUUAGUAUAAGCGGUUAAUUUGUGUAAAAAUGCUGNNNNNNNNNNNNNNNNNNNNNNNNNNNNNNNNNNNNNNNNNNNNNNNNNNNNNNNNNNNNNNNNNNNNNNNNNNNNNNNNNNNNNNNNNNNNNNNNNNNNAAGGUGGGUCGGGUUUGGCACAGGAGGCGAGUGAAGGUGAUUGUGGGUGUAAUUGGAUCGGUGGGUUUAUUUUUCUUAACGAAUUGGUGGAUGCUUUCGCGCCUUUACGAUGCGGGCCGCGGUGUUAAGAGCAGCUCAAGAAUUGCGAAUUCGUCUUUGAUUUCGGUUCAGGUAAGUUAAUGGAACUCAAUUCGGAGAUGGGGUUGUAAUACAGUUCGUGAUUGAAGGAAAUGGGGAUAGCGUUAAUUAUUAAUUUCAGCAUUGAAUUUGCAUCCAUAUAUGCGAAUUACGAGAGGAAAAUACUUGUUUCCAUGAAGCUUUUGAAAAAUGAUAACAAUGGUGGCAAUUUUAUUUUUUUUAAAAUUGAAAUGAAAUGAGGGGUCAUUGCUAUUUCUCUUGAUAUAUUACAUUUUGUUGUAAGAUUUUGAGUGGUAAUAUUUGGUACAAGAGUUAGCCAGGAGUUAUACAUUUCUUUGUAAAUUUGGGUUAUUAAUGAGGUUGCUAAAUUUUCUUUUGGUUAUUCGUUUGGGUGACAUGCAGGGAGGAUUGAAAAAGCCUAAUAAAGGGGAAAGGCCGCAGAUUCAUUCCCGGAUGCUGGCAUUGGCAGCCCAUGCCUUGGCUGAUGUAGGUUUUGGAUAUGAGUUGAAGAAUGCUUUUUCCAUACUGAUAAUUUUUGCCAAAAAUCUAUACUAGCUAAGAUGGAAAGGGGGCUUUAUAUUAAAGAUUUUUCUUCAGAUGGAAUUGCCACAUAUUCUUAGUAUGGGAUUUUUAGUAUAAGCGGUUAAUUUGUGUAAAAUUGCUGUCAAGCUGUAUAUUUUAUAGUUAUAGUCCUUACAGUGAAUAAUUUAGUUUCAGCUGUACCAUCUUGCCUCUUCUCAUAUCUUGGGUGUUGUGGUAUUCAGGGACAGAAUAAACCUGAGCCAAAAGGUUUAUGGGAGGAGCCUGUGGUCCCAGCUUCUGUUUGGAGACCUUGUGCCCACCAACGUAACUGGGAACCUAGUGGUGACUCUUCUCUUUCACUCUUGGCUAGUUAUGCAUACAGUCACUCUGCUUAAAGCUGAUUCUGACAUGGUGUUUCCUGUGAUACUUUGUUAGAGGGAAAUAAUGGAUACAUUUUGAUUACUGCAAAUGGUGGUAUCAACCAGCAGCGAGUAGCUGUAAGUAUUAUCUGCCAUACAAAUAACUGCUUUAAGGAUUAUCCUCUACUACUCUAUUUUCAUGAUUUUGUGUUUAUCCUUGACAAGAACUUUACUUCUGAAUAAUGAAUACUAAAUUAUAUGCAUGAUUUUUCAUCACCUAAAAGAUCUAUUCUGAUUGGCAACAGGUCUGUAAUGCUGUUGUCAUUGCUCGAUUUCUUAAUGCAACUCUUGUUGUUCCCAAAUUUUUGUUCAGUAGUGUAUGGAGAGAUGUGAGGUAAUUUUUUUUAUUCCCAUUCUUUAGUUUUUCCACUUGGUAUUUCUUUUUGUGUUUCUUUGUUGUGCUGUAUGACUAUGUCCUCUUAAAAUCCAAGGUUCAUGCAUAUUUUUUCUCUUUUUUUUGCAUUACUUUCAAUGAAUUUAAAACCUGGUUUAUCUUGUUUAUUUAUGAGGUUAUCACCCAUACUUCUUCUACAUUCAUUUUUAUUUUUGCUGGGGUUUUGAGUGUUGGACUUUAUAACAUUUACUUCUAAUCGUGCAAGUUCAGAUUUUAUUUUAGUUUUAUGAUAUUUGGAAUCUCUUCAUUAUUUGGAUGGCACUGUGCAUAUGUGCAUGGAGUUUUAAGUAUCUGCUUUAUGAAUUGCUAAUUGUUGACCUAGAAUGCUGAAGGAAUUGGUUUUACCUUCACAAUAACUAGUGUUAUUUAAUCACAUUUGUUUGUUUGUGUGCCUUAGUUUUAAGCAUGACAUCCUGUAGUGUUCACUGUUCACAUGUAUUCUAAAUUAGUGUUUUUUUUUUCCAGGAUUAAUAGAAUCUGUUUAUAUAUGUUGCAUGUGCAUCUAUCUGCAUGCAUGCUUUUUGUGCUCAAUAUGUUUUGAUAAAUCUCAGUAAAGUUUGAUGAUAUGCUCAUUUUACGUAUCUUAUUGGUGUUAACAUGGAGAAAGUGACGUAUCACUCUGUAAUUCCUUAGUCAAUUCAGCGAUAUAUAUCAGGAGGAGCAUUUUGUCAAUUACUUGACACCUGAUAUUCGGAUAGUGAAAGAACUUCCUAAGGAGCUGCAGUCAUUAGAUUUGGAGGCAAUUGGUAGUGUUGUGAGUAUCCUAUUUGACUCAACUUCAAACAGGUAUUAAGUGUUGUGUUACCAGCUUUGGUGAUGUUUUUGGCUGAAUUGAUCAUUGAUGUGUUCUUUCAGGUGACAGACGUAGAUAUCAUGAAAGAGUCCAAGCUUAGCUUUUAUCGGAAGAAUAUUCUUCCUAUACUACUUCAAAAGAGAGUCGUCCAUUUUGUUGGAUUUGGAAAUCGUUUGGCAUUUGACCCAAUACCAUUUGAGUUGCAGGUAAAUCUAUAGUCUUUGAUAUAUUAUUCCGGCAAAGUCUUUGGAGGAGCUAAUAGCAUAGGUUUAUGAGAUUAUCAACCUCGCUUGGUUUUCUUAGUUUUUAUAUUGCUUUCCUAAUUGCGGGACUUCAUCUAGAGACUUCGAUGUAGAUGUAAUUUUCAUGCAUUGCGAUUUGUUCCAAAAAUACAAGAAACUGGUGCCUUGCUUCUCAAAAAGAUGCGUCAGAAUGUACGUCGCUCUGGGCCUCUGGAUCACUAUCUUGUUGGUCCAUUUGCUGAAUCAACUAUGAAGGGGAAGAAGAAUCGUGCCGCAAAAUCUUCCAGAUACUUAGCUCUACACUUGAGGUUUGAAAUUGACAUGGUAGCCCAUUCUUUGUGUGAUUUUGGUGGGGGAGAAGAAGAGAGGCAAGAGUUGGAAGCAUAUCGUGAAAUACAUUUCCCUGCGCUGGCCCUUCUUAAGAAGACUACAAAGUAGGCAUCGUAUUUUUUUUUUAAAUUUUUGGGUUCUUCAUUUCAUCUGCUUCACUUUUUUGGGCAUUAACUGCAUGCUUAGGGCUCGAUUUUAUGCUGAAGCCAUCAUGGGGGAUUCUGUAAUUAGUGACCACUUUCCAACAUAUAUUCUUGAACAUUUUGUUCAUGUUCUAGAGGAUUCUACAUAGUUUUGCUAAUCAAAGAAAAACUAAAUUUUUUAUAACAGAUCAUUUAAGAGCCCAUUUCGCCCUUUUAGGCACAUUUAUCUUGUUCCUUACAUUUAUUGAAAUGAGAAACACUGGUCUCCCAUUUACUUUUGUCCAUUUUUUUGAGGAUAUUAUUCAAUAUGUUGCAGGCUACCUUCUCCUGAAGAACUGAGGGCAGAUGGUCAAUGUCCAUUAACGCCUGAAGAAACAGUUCUUAUGCUUGUUGCUCUUGGUUUCAACCGCAAGACUCAUAUAUUCUUGGCAGGUUCACAAAUAUAUGGAGGGAGGUCAAGAUUGGCUGCUUUGACCACCUUGUAUCCUAAUUUGGUUACUAAAGAGAACUUGCUUUCAUCAUCUGAGAUUGAACCCUUUAAGAAUUUCUCAUCUCAGGUAAUAACUCAUCUUUAUUUAAUGGAUAUUUUUAAACAAGAGCUGGUUUCUGCAUUUGCUGCACACUUCUGGGUUCUCAUUCUCACUCAAGUUUAAUUAAAUAAUUGAAGUGUUUGCCUGUUUGAUCUUUCCAUUGAGUGUUAACAAGACAGCAAGGCUCCUUUUAGAUGAUGAAAAAGAAAAAAAAAACAUGUGCAAGCUCAAUAAAAUCUUUCUUUAUUCGUUCUCCAAUUUUGUUGAUUUUUUCACAAUAAAGAGUUUGAAAAUGCUUAAAUUUUAAAUAAUUUUCAUUUAUUUGAAUUUCCCUUUGUAUUUUCUAACAUAAUCAAACAUGAGAAAUUGACAUUUCUUCCUUUCUUUUUUCCUUCUUCCCUUUGAAGUGUAAAUGCAUCCAGCUUCUCAGAGUACGAUCGUCAAGAGCUCAUCUUAAUUAACUCACUUGGAUGUGGCAUGUACAACUAAUUAGAUUAAGUUUGUUCUUUUAUGUGUUUUUGGAAUUUGCUUUACAGGAUCUUGAUGAUUCUUUUGUCUAUGGCAUAAACCUAAUUUAGUUUAACAUUUUCUGAAACACAUACUGUUGGCUUUCAACUUGGACUAGUGGAUAUAGGUUCUUGUAACUUGUAACCCUAGAUAGACAAAGAAAUUUGGAAGUUCAUCUAGCCUGAUCAGAGAAAACAAGGUAUUAGGUUUUUCUUUUCUAAGAGGAUUGUUAUCAUUGGUUCUUCCUUUCCUUGACAGGAAACAAUGAUGUUUUUUUAGAAUGGAAUUUAGUACAAGGAAUGAUGAUGAACCAUCCAUCUGACAAAACUCAAAAAGAAAAGCUCUACUAGACUGCUGCUAGGAUACAGCAACCACCCCCAACAAUCCUACCUUUUUUUUGCAUUUAUACAACCUAUGUCAACUGUCGAGUAAUACAUUAUGCUUUGCAAUGACUGUCUGUGUACUCCUGUUGGUAUAGGUGAUGAGUCAUCAUCCAUUGGAUCAGUAGUUAAAUUUAUUGACUUACAAGUAGUUGCAAUUUUCAUUUACCUGCACUAAAAUUCUAAUUCGUUUUCAAGGAAAAUACAUUGCAUUUUCCUUGUGUUUGUUCUCAUUGCUGGUGAGUUGAUGUAUGAUGAACUGAUUUUUUAUUUUUUCUUUCCUAUAGCUAGCAGCCUUAGACUUUAUUGGCUGCACUGCUGCUGAUGCAUUUGCCAUUACAGACUCUGGGAGUCAGUUAUCAUCUUUGGUAUCUGGUUAUCGGAUAUACUACGGUGGUGGUAGAUUGCCAACAGUCAGGCCAAACAAACGCAGACUUGCAAGCAUCUUUUUGAAGAACUCCACUAUAGAAUGGAGCAUGUUUGAGAAGAGAGUGAGGAAGGCAGUUAGACAAACUAAAACGAUCCAUAGAAGAUCUAUUUCAAGGAGUGUCUACAGGAACCCACGCUGUAGAGAAUGCAUGUGCACGACUGAAUAGUGGUCUGUAUUACUACACAAGUUCAUUGCCAUUGUAACAAGUUACAUUCAUCAAUGUUGAUUCGAUUUGAUUCACAUUCAUUACUAAUUAUGAUUUGUAACAUUCAUUAUUUUGUUUGUCAACUUUAAUACAGGCUUAUGUAAUUAAUGAGACGAUAUUUGACUAGAUAUCAACUUCUGGAAGAAGAAAAUGGAUGCAGGGGAAUUGAACUCAAAAACCCUUUACUUAUUCUGUCUUCCUAGCUACAUUGAAGUGCUUGGGAUACAUCUGUUGAUUGACCAUAACAUUCUUAGCUACACGAUACAUUAAGGAAAAUGAGGUGUACUACUCUUUGUUCUGCAUGGAAUGAAAGAAUUCAGUUUCAAAUUUUAGCCUUCAACAUCCAUUAAAGAAGCCCAUCAUUCCUUUUCUCUUCACACUGAAACAGGCAAUACUGAGAUUGGUAUCCUCACAAUGUGAUUCAAACUUCCUGUAAGAAUAAUCCCACCAAAGCUAUAGUCCUCCAUUGCUUGGGUCACAUUCAACUGUAUUUCCAAAUCCUGGGUUCCCUGUGGAACUAUGGUAAAUGAAGGUGGAUUCAAACUAACCAUUACUCCCUUUGGUGGUAUGACUGAGCACAGGUAUGUCUCUUGCUUGCUUCCUAUGUUCUUCACAUUUCGUCUCACUAACAGGGUUCCUCUCAGUUCUGAUAUUGUCACUGAAGGAAGGUUCAGGUCAGAGAGGUGGUUUAGCAGCUGAGUACAUACUCCUCCGGUGAUUGCUCUGAUUGUAGCCGGAUUGACAUUGGGCAGAGAGCACAAGAAACUGAUGUAGUCUUCAAACCCUGCUUUGGGCAUGCAUAAAAACUUAUAGAAAAGAAUCGUAGCAGAAGCUCAAAUUGGUUAAUCUACAUCCAUACUAAAAAGAACAGAAAGUAACCUGAUGUUAAGACAAGGCCUGGAUCAAUGGCAUGGUUUGGACUGAUGAAGCCAGCACCAAAAUCAAAAUGAGUUGAGAGAUACAAGCUGCCAAUAUCAUAUCCUUCAGCCAUUAUGGGUUCUCCAAGGUUAUCAACAAUGGUGGCAGUGGUGGACAUUGCAGAAGCAAUCAUAGAUGGAGUCCAUGAAGGGUUGUAUUGCUUGAUCAGAGCAGCUAUUCCCGCAACAUGAGGGGUUGCCAUGCUGGUACCAGACAAUAGAGCAAAACUGUAUCCUAAAAAACCAGUCGAGUUUAGUUUGUGAAUCUACCUAUCUACAUUCAUAAACCAUUCUAAAAAAACUAUUAACUAAGCUGUGAUCAUAAGAUAGAAUCCUGGGUAAAUUUCAGUGUUUUUUUGGCAAAUAUACCAGAUAGGAUUGGAUCUAAGAUGCUAAUGGGGCUCCAAGCUGCCCACACUUGGUGCCCUGGUGCCAAAAUAUCAGGCUUCAGCACAUCAACAGGCUUCCUACUUUUGUCAAUGAAAUCUGGUCCCCUGGAAGAGAAUCUGCUCACAAUUGGGGCUCGUCCAGUGAAAAAACUAAUUCUUCCCUCCCCUAUAGCUGCUCUCCCACUAAACCUGACUGCAAGUCCUGUCUGAUCUCUGUAUGUUUGCUGUUCAUAGUAUUGUGCUAUAAUCUGAAAAAACCAAGAAGAUAAGACAACUCAUUCUCAUUUACCUUUGGUUAAGAGCAUAGGCUAUAGUUUUCCAUUAUAUAUGUUAUCAUCCACACCUGCGUUUCAGCAACUCUUGGAAUCAAAAUCCCUGGAACAGAAAAUGGCAAGGGUUCUGCUAUGAAAUCGCCGUAGUUUUGGGUUUGCAACUAAAACAAAACCCCAUGAAUCCUAGGGCUCUUGCUGUGUCAAUGGAUGGGCAGUGAGGGUAGAGUUUCCAUUAAAGAAAGCCUGUCAAGAAAAUGCACACCAACACCCUGCCCUUGCACUAAAAAAGGGUCCCAUGCUUUCAACAAAUUGGCACNNNNNNNNNNNNNNNNNNNNNNNNNNNNNNNNNNNNNNNNNNNNNNNNNNNNNNNNNNNNNNNNNNNNNNNNNNNNNNNNNNNNNNNNNNNNNNNNNNNNAAACUAUUAACUAAGCUGUGAUCAUAACAUAGAAUCCUGGGUAAAUUUCAGUUUUUUUUGGCAAAUAUACCAGAUAGGAUUGGAUCUAAGAUGCUAAUGGGGCUCCAAGCUGCCCAUACUUGGUGCCCUGGUGCCAAAAUAUCAGGCUUCAGCACAUCAACAGGCUUCCUACUUUUGUCAAUGAAAUCUGGUCCCCUGGAAGAGAAUCUGCUCACAAUGGGGGCUCGUCCAGUGAAAAAACUAAUUCUUCCCUCCCCUAUAGCUGCUCUCCCACUAAACCUGACUGCAAGUCCUGUCUGAUCUCUGUAUGUUUGCUGUUCAUAGUAUUGUGCUAUAAUCUGAAAAAACCAAGAAGAUAAGACAACUCAUUCUCAUUUACCUUUGGUUAAGAGCAUAGGCUAUAGUUUUCCAUUAUAUAUGUUAUCAUCCACACCUGUGUUUCAGCAACUCUUGGAAUCAAAAUCCCUGGAACAGAAAAUGGCAAGGGUUCUGCUAUGAAAUCGCCGUAGUUGGGGUUUGCAACUAGAACAAACCCCAUGAAUCCUAGGGCUCUUGCUGUGUCAAUGAUGGCAGUGAGGGUAGAGUUUCCAUUAAAGAAGCCUGUUGAGAAGAUGCAGAUAACAACACUGCCUUGCACUAGAAGAGGGUCCAGUGCUUCAGCAAAUUGGCACUCCUCAACAUACUGUGCAGUCCUUGGGAAUGUCCCAUUCACCUUAACAGCAUCCUUGGCCAACACCAGCUUAUAUUGAAGUAAACCAUUUCCCAAGGUUGGUCCUGAGUGACAGAAACAUUAUCAGUAGAAUAAAUGAGAAUCUCUAGAUGGAAACUACCUGAUAAUCCCACAUCUUAGUGCUAAUACUGCUAUUAGAUUGAUUCUAGGAAACACUUAUAACUUUCCUAGUAUUUGAAAACUUUUAUUAAAAAGGUUGUUUCUAAGUGCUAAAAAGACUAGAAACCGUUCCUAGAACCACUGCUGAACAAGCUCUUAGCAACGAUGAACCCAAAAACUAAAGUUACCUGAUAAUCCCACACCGCCAAUUCUUUGUCCAUUUCCAAGCACAAGAGUGCUAGGAUAACUUCUGUCUGUGCUGGAAGCAGCUGCUCCCACAGCCCAAGGGCUGAAGGACACUACAGUGGAAGGACCAGGCCCCUGAUUUCCGGCAGCUUGCACCACGAAAACGCCAGCUCGCCUUGCAAAUAACAUGAAAAUAUCGAACACACUUAAGAAGGUCAUUGUGUCUUCUGGGGGUGUGUCUGGUCCUAUGGACAGUGUCAAGACAUCUACUCCAUCCAUUGUUGCCUGUCAUCAAGAAACAGUUUCAUCUUUUUUCCUUUAUGCUGUUCCACCAAUUGGGUUUCUGAAUACUAAAAAGUUGAACAAGAAGUAUCCAUCGAUGGCGCUUUUAAUCUAAAACCCUUCCUUUUUUUAGGUGGGAAUUCAUCAUACAAUGGUGUAAUACAGUUGCAUGCAUGCAUGCAUUUUACUGUUUCUUGAUAAGAACCCAGUUAGAUCAUUUUGAUUUAUUAAGUUCAGCUAUUGAUUUUUAUCCAUUUACAUCAAUUUUUUUUGCGGAUGAACAUUGCUGAUACUAUGUAAAAAAACAAAGAAUAUGAUCAUCAGCUUAUUGAGUAUAAACAUGAGGCCAAUAGUUUGGUUGUUUCCAAUUCUAAUCUCUGUUAUGACAUGACAAAAAUGAAGGCAAAACUGGUCCAAAAUAGAGGAUAAAGAAAAAAUGAAGGUAACCAAACCGAUUCAUAUAUAGUAUUAUGGCAUGCAUCCUAUGAUAAUGAUGGUGCAACAUCUGGAUUCCACCAUUGAAAUCUUUAUAAAUUCAUACCAUGAAGAUUCUUGCAUUUAGUGUGGUAAGGUGGCUAGGUUUAUCUAAUCAGAGGGCCACCCAGGUGGAAAAUCAGUCUGAAUUAUUACCUGAUCCAUCGCGGAAACCACGUCUGUUAGAGUUCCUACAGUUGGAUAUAUAGCCUUAUACACAGCAAUUCUGUUGUUCAAAGGGAGAAAGAAAGAGUGAUGAAGACACAACACAAUACCAUCAUCUCAUCAUCAUCAACCUUCACCAAAAGCAAUGGUUUGAUUCAUGUUUAACACAACCAAACGGAAACGUACCGCGCUCUUGGGGCCAUCCCACUGGCCCGUCCAUAGAAGAAGCCAUUGAGGACCACUGGAACUCCAGGAUUUCCGGCAGCAGUCGAAGCCACGUGGCUAAAUAAUUCACAUUAGCCUAAUGUCAUAGACUUGCUAAAAAGUCCAAAAAAAUAUCCAAAGAAAAACACAGUUUCUAAUCUCUUUCUCUCACUCUCUCUCUAUAUAUGUAUAUAUAUUUACCUUCCAUGUCCAACCGCAUCAAGAGGUGAGAGGAAGUCAUAUGAAGUGUUGAGAUUAGUAGCAGCUUGAGCCCCGGCUGAGAAGAACCUCGCAGAAACUAUCUUACCAUUGCAGGAACUUGCAGGAAAUCCAGGACCCGCCUCACAGGUCCCCUUAAAAUGUGAAGUAUUGGAGGUGUAAGGAUUUGUGGGAUCGUAAGCGAAGCUCGGGUGCAGUGGGUUGAUGCCUGUGUCCACAAAACCAAUGACAAGCCCUUCACCUGCAUUUGCAUCUCCACCUUCCUGGCUCCAUAUCCCUUCAGGUAACCCUAGGAACUGAGGAGUGUACGUAGUCAUCAACUUGGCCCCUCUAUCUCUCUCCACCAGCGUUACUCCUGGCGCAUGUUUGAGUUUAUUAGCCUGAAUUAUUGUACCCGAGAAAUGGUUAAUCCUUUUGCUGUGUACGAGAGAAAGAUGAAGGUUUGAAGCAAGGGAGAAAGAAAGGAGACCUGUGAUGGGGUGGUAUGGACGGAAAAUCCAUUGACAAUGUGUUUGAAGCUGUAAAGCUUGUUGUAGCUUCCAGAAUCUAGAGUGGUCUGGAGGAGUUGAUCGUGAGAAUCCACCAAGUGCUUUGCAUGAGCCUUGUAAACCUCACUGAGCAUCCAGACAAAGUGGUGUACGGUAAGAUUACUGUUCAACCCAUGCUUUAUUUUAGAAUAUAUUUGAAUCAUAGCAUCUACUACUUCCUCACCUGUUGGGAUCAACCCUUUUUCCUUCUUCGAGAGGCCCUGAACCUCGAUGAAAUGCAACCGGGUCUCCUUCCAUUAGAACCAAGUACAUGCCACGUUCCUCUGCAUGGCAAGCCAUGAAUGCCAUGAGUAGGAGAAGCAGCACUGCACAUGGCAAUGAACCCGGUACAUCUCCGUUAGCCGCCAUGGUUAAAGCUGAAGAAAAAAUGGAGGGUUGGGGUUAAGGAUUAGCUCAGUUGGAAGGGAUGAUCAGGAGAAGGAACCCUUAUAAGCCAUGCAAAAACACACUUCCUUAACAGCACUGUUGACGUGAAUAAAGCUGGGUAUUUAGUGCUUUUAAGAGAAAGACCUGCCCACUUUGAUGUAACGGUUGCCUUUCUGUUACUGUCUACUUUUGAAUGUGUAUAUAUGUAUGUGAAUGGUGUCACUGCCAAUCUCACUCCAACAAACCCAUUCUGAAAGAGACAAAAGAGAACAAAAUAAACCUUGGGCGGAGUGGCUGUACAUCCAAUUGGGUAACCAUGAUCACCAUUCACAUUAAACCUUUUCCAACCACAUUGAAAUAUAAUGAUAUUGAAUAAUCUCAACCACCCCUUAGAUUGGCUUUUGUGGGUUUAGGGUGGCCCUCGAUAGGGGAUAUAUUCCUUCACCUUUGCUUGCUUUAAUGGCUGUGCUGCAGCAACAUUAGCUGAAAAUAAAACCAAUUAAGUUGUCCGGGUCAUGGACCCGACAGUCCGAGGAUUUCAACAAGUGUGCUCAUGCUGUGUUUUCAACUAGCAGCAUUAAAGUAUAUUCAUGAAUUUCAAUACAAUCCCAUCCAGGCCCACAGAAUACAUAUUGUUCCUUUCCAUGCUAUUUUUCAUGUACCCCACCACUUGUGAGGUUGGGGAACAAAUGAUAAAUCAAGGGACAGCUUAAAAAACGAUAAAAAUCAAGGUGGAGGAAAUACUGAAAGAAAAAGGAAGAAUCAAUUAGCAAAUGUGCAGUACCUUCCAUUCAAUCUAGUUUGUGUUUGUGUACCGCUUGCUCAAAUGGCAAGGGGCAUUCUACAAACCCAUGAGGUUUAAAAGUAGAGCUGAGGAGACGCAGAAUGAGAGUUUAUAUUGUAAAAGGAAAAUUACCAACUGAAGAGCUGAUGAGCAAAGGGAUUUUCAUGGUUUUCGCAAAGCUACCAAAAACUGGGAAUCCAUGGUUUUUUUACCACAAACCUUUGGGUUCAGAGUGUUCUUAGAGAAGUCGCCUUAAAUCUGAAUCAUCUUUCUGCACAGAAUGUAUAUUACAAAGUAAUAUCCUAAAUCUAGCAUUGCAUACAUAUCUCCAGAGACAAAAGACAUAAAUUACUAGAAGCCUCCAGUCUGAGCAAAGCACAGCAUGGUUCUCUGCACUGUACAACUCACACAACAACAAUGCAAGAGCUAAAUGUGUAAGAGUCAAGCCUUGCACCACAACUCCUGGCCUCUGGAUGUGCUCAUCUCUUCCUACGCUUUGGCUCCACCUGUGGAAGAUCACAACAUGGUUGAUAAAUCAAAAUAUUCCAAGGAUUGCACUUGUAGAAAUACAAGAAAAGAUUGAUGUAAACAGAAAACAUUGAACAAAAAGAUUGACACAGACAAGCAAAUAAUAUGUAAAUGAAUCUCAUUUGAAUUCUAGUAGGAUUGCCUUCUUGAACCCUAACCCAACCAUUUCAAAAUUUGGAACUCCAAAACUUUUAGCACAAUGUCAUGAUCAAGACUACCCAAUGUUUGCCCCAAGUACCAUUCCCCAGGCAAAGUUGUGAACACAGAUCUAAUUUGACUGUAUAUCAGUAUAUCCAGAACUUAAAGGAACCUGUUACAAGUUAGUGGCUCAUGGAAUGCUUAUGGAAAGGACAAAUGAAAUUUUUUUAAUCCAACUAUUCAUCCUCAUAAUUCAAACACCAUUGUAAUGAGUUCUGGUCUGGCAGUGUAGGAACUCUAAAGCAGUCAUUAAAUGGGUACAUGGUAGAAGCAUUGCAUGGGAGGUUAUCUAUUACACUUCAUAACCUGAACAUUACAGGAGGUUGGAAAUCUCGGGGGGACUGACUAAGAAGGUUAACACAAAUGUAAACUAAAAGCUUCAAUUAGAACAAAUUUACAUACAUAGGAGGUACAAUUAUAAAUGCAUCUCCACCUUAAACUAAAACAUAUAGGAACGAAAAUAAUGGGUAAAUUUAUUCAAUUGAAACAACCUUUCCCCAUGACACAGAAGACUUUGGACGGAGAACUCAUCCCACCCAAAACAACACUCUCAUAUAAACACUUGAUUUCAAACUGUUUGGAGUUUUUAUUUCAUUGAUAACUAAAUAUUUGAGGUUGUUAACUACAAAAUCCAGUAAAUCAACUAGAGGCAUACCUGCUAUUUUGGUUCAAUGGCCAUUCAGAACAUAUGGAUGCAUUAAUCUCUAUGGGCAAUACACUGAAUAUAAAGUAUAUUUAUAAGUUCUUUUACAAUCUACUGGAGUUAGCUUUGGUAUACCUAAGUUUAGCUGCAAGUUUUAGAAGCAGACAUGGCAGGUUAGACUGUUAACAUGGAUCCAAGAGCAUGAGCCAGCAAACAGAGAAAUUGAAUCGCCUGGUUUCAUUAGAAUUAUCCCUUCCAGUAGAACAAACAAUCUGGACAAUAAUUUUGAAGCUGAGUAACUUACUCCAUUAUUCAAAAGAGUGGAUCAGUCUUCCUAGGCGGUACAAUAUCUGAUGAUUGCCAAGGUGUUAAGAACUUAUCAUGGCACUAGGAAUUCACAGCUUAUUUUUAUAAAUAUUGAGGCCUUUUAAAGUUCAUUAUGUCAUUUCAUUAGAAAAAAAGUGUAAUUCGCACACACACACUCCACCACCACCACCACCACCAACAACAACAAUAAUAAAUAAAGAAAACGAUAUUAGUUGGCACAAAAUUAAUAUGCUUGCUAUCAUCCUUCCAAUAAUUAAACACAUACAACUUCUAUAUGAAAUUAUUUCCAAUAUUUGCAAUCAUCCUUCCAAUAAGUUUAUGUACUCAACUAAUAAAUAUUUCAAAUUUUUGGUCAUGAAGUGAUAGGAAGGGAACUUGUCAGAAGGGUCUUUGAGGGGGCGGAUGCACCAAUUCAGAAGAUCAAAGAGGUUGUCCCUUGAUGACCGGAAAAUAGAAUUCAUGAUGGGAGGAUAUUAUCUAUUUAAGAUUUCAAUGAUAUGAAGGGAUCCUCCAGUUAGAGGGAUGCAUAUGUCGUCAAUGUUUUACCUCUUCUCAGAAGUACUUGUAUAGCUCCCAUGUAUUUGGGAGGUGGCCCCCUUCUUGGGCCCCCUCUAUCUAUAUUUUAUUUUCCUUCACCUAUCAUUAAAAAAAAAAAAAAACUCUAAAAUUAUGAAAGAAAUGUCAACUUUUAACAAUCCACUCCAAACAAUAUUUUCAGUUAUAAAUAAAUAGUUUGCUGAUGGAUUAGACACAUUCCUAAGUAGGACACAUUAGUCAAAUGUUAACAAACAAUCAAUGUUAAAUUUCAAGCACAAUACAACAGUAAAAGAAGUAAUGUGCGCAAAGGAAUUUAUGUUUUGGAAAACACGCUAUCUUUUUUUUGAUAGACUUCAAAAGCAUGUAUUAAAAAACGCCAAAAAGAGGGGGCACGCCCUACGUAUAUAGGCAGUACACACAGAAUAAACCAAAGCAAGCACCACUUGAGAAACACACUAUCUGCCUAACAUUCAGUCCACAUGAUAUAAGUUAUAAUGAGCAGACUUCCGUUCUCUGUGCUACAGGGCUAUCAGUCCCCCACAGAUGUUGAAACAUUUUGAAAUUAUUAUUUAAGUAUUGCCUACAGUUAAUAAAACAGAUAAUUCUAGUUACUAUAAAAUUCCAAUAACCAUGCCUUGGUUUAUUUAAUAGUAUGAACAAUAUCAGAGAAAAACACAUCAUAUUAGGUUAAAAAGGGUUCAUAGACAGACUAAGAAUUAAAAAAAAUUGAUCUCUCUGAAGCCCACUGUCUUACAAGUUUGUAAAACCUACCAUUUGCUAGCAUGGCAUAUGAUGUUAUUCUAAACAUAACUAGUGAAUGCAGUUUAGUAUGUUUAGCAGGGAGUUCAUAUUCCAAGUUCUUACCAAUACAGAAUUGUCCAACAAAUUCCUUUAAUUUCUAAGCAUCAAUAUUUUUUCACCAUCUAUGAAUACCCUAAAAUCACAAGACAAGCAUAUAAGAAACCCACAAAGUCCAAAUAUUAAAUUCUGAAUUCCAACUGGCCCAAACACUCAUGCCUUAUAGAAAUUAUUUAUUUUUCCUACUAUAAGAAAAAUUAAAAUUUUAUUAGAGAAGGAAACAAAAAGAUGAAAACUGCCUAAACAUAAGUCAUGCACACAAAGAAAAAAAAACCAACUCAAAAAGAGUGAGAAACCAAAAGAUCAGAAAUAAUAUUUCUCCUGAGUUUCAACUUUGUGAUUGGGUGUUGAUAUCUUCAAAAAUCUAUUAUUCCACUCUUUAUAUAGACUCCAAAUGACAGCAUGAGAACCACACUGUAAACAGUAAAUCAAAAUAGCAAUCUUUUGUCAAAAACAAUUAGAUUGAUGAUCAUGGCAUCAAAUGCAUUCAAGAAAGAAAGGGAAUGCUAUUCCAAAAGCAGAAAUCUAGACCAAGGCAAUGGCAAGGAAUAACUUUCCAAGGUGAAGUAGCAUAACAGUAAUAUCUAGCUACUUCAAAGACCAACUGAACAAAAUACAAGGUAACAAAAUGAAAUAGAAUUAAAAAUGGAAAACAAGAGAAGGCACACCAAAGAAUAGAGCAUAACAAUUUCAGAAUCACACAACAAUCACACGAGUCUUAACAAAAAUAAUAACAAUAAAAAUAGCAAGUAAUCAGGAUAAAUGUUUCUUCCAUCCACAUAACUGGCCAGGGAUGUAGAAAGAAACAAAUUAUCGCAUAUCUCGAAGCACAAAACAUCCUCCAAAUAUGUUUCUCAUCUUGAAAGACUGUUUGGAAAAUGCCACCAAAAAGGAUACUCAGUUCCACCUCUCAGUAGGCAUUAUAAAAUCAGAGAUUUGUAUCAAACCUAUACGAAUUUGAAGAUCAGAGAUACAUGCAUAAUCAUAUAAAUAAUAAUAACCAUCAAGCAAGAGAAAUUAUGGCUGUUUAAACGGAAAAAGCAAUAGCCCAAUGACACAACUAUUAGUAAGUUCUUCAUAUUUGUGCAACAAUAUGGGCCCAUAAUAUGAAGCCAAUGUUACAAAUGUGGUGCAAGUAUGCACCCAUCUCACAAAUGAAUUUUCCAAGAAAGCAAGCAAACAAUGGAUCAUCAUGCACAAGAUUUGACACCAAGUUUAAUGGGGUAAACAAAGACACCAAACUCACUUCUCCAAGUGCAAAAAGAAGUCUUACCUUGGUGUCAGCUGUCGGCGAUGUAGGAAAUGCAUUCUGGGAUCUUUUGGCCUCAUCAUCAGAACAAUCAGAACACAGAAAGUGAUCUAGUUUUUUUGCUGCUUCAAUAGUCAUUUCAACACAAACAGGAUGAUACCUGCAAGGAUGAUGAUGAAUAAUUAUUAUGUAUGUAACAAGAAAUACAUAAGUAGGUCACCAGAAUUUCCACUGAACCUAUAUUGUGAAGGCAUACUUGAAGGCUUCAAAUCUAACACAAAAAAUAAUGUUACCCUUAUAAUUUAUCCACAAAAUGGGUUGUGGCUUCAAAGAAAAAAUGGUUUCACCAGUGAAUAUUCAGAUGAUCAACAUAAGCAAAUGAGGCCUCUGAAUCUUGAUGUAUAAAUAAAUUAAGUACAGGUCAAAACGACUGGUAUAUAUUAAACGCAAAAUAUGAAAGCUAAAGAAGAUAACAAGAGAUGGGUGCCACUCGAUCUAGCAAUCUAUAUAUUUAGCAACCAACCAAUCCAUAUUCAAACUUCUAACACUAAUUCCAGCAGAAAGUAGGAGAGUUCCUUCCACAUACUUGGGUUUCUUGGGGCAUUUGACUAAUUUAGAAAUGCUUGUGCAACUAAUUUUAUAGCUAGGAAUUCCUAGCCUUUCUAAUGCAAUAAGGUCCUUUUUAGAUAUUGGAAAGUGCUAAAAGUACUAAGGAAAGGAAAAGAAAUAGGAAAGAAUCUCAAAUUCUUUUGUUUGCUUUCCUAUGGAAAAUAUGAAGAAAAAUGAAUAUUAAGAAUUAACUACAAACUCAUGUAUUUUAAAAAUAUUUACUCUCUUUAUAAAGAAAAAAUAAAUUUGGAGAAACAUGAUAAGAAAGGCUAGGUGAGUUUGAACUUGUAUUUAAUUUCCUUGACUUUUCCUUUCCUUCACUUCUUCCUCAUUUACGUUCCCUCCUAGUCUCUCUCAUAUUUUCAAUGAUUCAAAGAGAGUAUAAAUACAAACUUAGAUAGUCAAAAUAGAUAUAUGCAACAAAUUUUAUUAGCUUUAUGUGGCUGCUGGAAAUGAGUUAAAAAAAAAAAAAAGGAAUUUAGAAUUUAUGAAUAUGUUCUUUUCCUUUUGGAAAAAGGGAAAGACCUCCAAGCAAUUGAGCUUUUAACCCAAGCACUUCUUCUAGUUCAGGUUGAGUUUCCAUGUUUUUACAAAAUCAGAUACAAAACUGAAAUGACACAAAACACAACAACAACCGGAAACCCAACAAAAGAAUAACAAAAGCAGGUUACCAGUCCUUGCACCCCUCGCACUGGACCAUAAGAUCAUCUGGGUUAUAAGGCAUCUCGCAUUUGCAAUACCUUCAAUACAAAAUUCAAAAGUAUUCAUCAGCCCACGAAUACCAGUACAUUCAAUCAUCAAUCAUCAAUCCAGCAAAACAACUCAAACUCACACAGCAACUCGGUCCGGCGUGAAACCCCCAGUAGCUGCCUUAUACUCGAACCGACAAUAGUAAUCCUCAGCCCCAACAUUUUCAAGCUUAGUAUAGUUCUUGAAGGAGUGAACAGUGCACUUCCCUUCAAUAGUAUGAGCACUCUGCACAUCAUAAUGGUCCGACAAAAACAACUCCUUUGCUCCAUGGAACUGCCUCCGCCCUCCAAUCGACUCCUCCGGCCGAUAAUACCACCGCACCCGAACCUUCACGUUGUUCCGAUUAUCGGCCUCAAUCUUCUCCACACGCGCUACGUACGAUGGCUUAUCGGUGUCCGAUGGCCGCAUCAACACGCAAUCACCAGCUGCAAAACAUCCAAAAACCACAAUGAUUCAGCCGUUUUGAACACCAACGCAACAGUCUCAUCGCUUUUGUACACCGAUUUUACCUCUCACCACCUUGUUGGUGCCUUUGAUGGUGUACGAAUCCAAGUCUCUUUUCCCAGGCCUCGUCUUCGCCAUCACCGCUAGGGUUCUUUUCCUUAAGAUCAAAAUGCAAACAGAUUUCGCAGCUAUUUCAAUGGCGGAAUCCGAAAUCCACGCACAUUGUGCCAGACUGUUCCAGACGUAGCGAAAAUGAUUGUUCGAAACCCUAGAUUUUGGGGACGAACACAAACCCUAGCUCAUUCUCCUGGAGAAAGAGAGAUAGAUAGAGAAAGAGAGAGAAAGAGAAGACUUACGAGACUGUGACUUUUUACCUUCAGUAUAAAUACUAUAUUCACUUUAUUUACAAUUUCAUUUUUUCGAACGAAAUGAAAUCAUUUAAUUACGAAUCUGCGUAAUGGAAAAGCAGCCUCGCCUCCUUUUAUCCGACGUAUAAAAAACGUUUUAAUUUUUUCCAGAAUUGGAUGAUUUCAUUUUCAUUUCAUCAACUCAUUCUCUGUGAUUAAACGGUUUCAUUUACGUAGUAAUGGAUGAAACCGUGUCUUGACUUCCCUGCAUGUACUCAGCCCACAUUAGGCUGACAUGACCUCUCAACCGUCCGAUGGGUUGACUUUUCAGGAGACCACUAUUUUAUUCUUCAUUCUACAGUCCAAAAUAUUCCAUUAAUCGUUCAUAUUUCAAUUUUUUUUUUUUUAACAAUAACCCCAUCUCAGAAACAGAUUCAAUUGAGCUUUGCCAAUAUUCAAAACCAGAAAAUUCCUUUAAGCUGAAGCUACAUUGUCCAUAUAAUGGAUAAACAUACCCAGUCACACUGACAUACAAAAUUUUCUUUGGUUCUUUUGGAUUAAACCCGAAAAUGAAGAAACAAAGUUGCUAAUCUGCUGCUGAUCUUUAUUUUGAAUCAUAAUGGAGUAGAACAGUUUGAUUAACAGUCGCUUCAGCGGUUAAUUGGGGUGUGCAUACGCUCGACGAUCUUGUUUACAGCAUCGCGGGACAUCACCAAUGUGUCAUGCAGCAGAAUGCUAUAGACAUUCAAGCCCUGCAAUGGCAUACACAUCAUGGAAGAACCAUAAGAACUGAGGUGGAAGCAAGGUGACCUAACUGUAUAGCUGGUUCACAUGUAUAAGAAUCUGUGAAUUGUGAUCAUUAAAAUCAUGAUUUACUUUGGCAUUAUGAUGAAUGUUGUGAUGAAUUCUGGGGUUGGAUUCAGUAAUGAAUCAAGAAACUACCAUGAAAGGACAAGGUUUUAAAACAGCCAAGUUGUUCACAGUUGUUCAUGAAUUAAAAGUGAAUUAAGAAUGAUGAAAAUGCAGGACAGAGGUCUGUGCUCUCAGUGAUUGCCAGAAACAUCUGUCUGAGAUUAAGAAAUGUUUUAACCAUGACCUGAGAUUAGAUCCUUCGCUUGCAGUUAACAUAGAAGAUCUUAAAACAAGGGUUUGCAACUUACAAUUGAGGGCAAUACGUUGACAUAAUGAAGAUUUUGUGUUGCCAACUUCAGCUUUUCAGUUAUCGGGCCACCAUCCACCAGGAGGAGUUUCUUGGUGUUCUCCAUUUCUUUGACAUAGUUCACAAUGUUCUUUGUCUUAUGUGAAGGGACCUCCAAAUCGUCAAAAACCAGAAGCUGCAUACAUUUGCAUUUUUGUCAGGUUGGUUUGUAAUUAACAUAUAAAUUAGGAGACUGAUUAAUCGUAAGCAACAGAAAUACAGAUAGAAUCAGAUAAUGAGUGCUCUGGCUGAGACCAAUUCAGUACAANNNNNNNNNNNNNNNNNNNNNNNNNNNNNNNNNNNNNNNNNNNNNNNNNNNNNNNNNNNNNNNNNNNNNNNNNNNNNNNNNNNNNNNNNNNNNNNNNNNNAACACCUGGAAGACAGCAUAGCCAGGGUAGAAUUAAUGGCUGUUACAGGAUUCAUCCAGCCAACCAAAGUAAAAUUGAUGUUUCUUUUCUCUCUGAGGUAAGUUAAUCUGAUAUAUUUGAUGUAGACGAUUAAGAAUAAAGGUUCAACAGAUGUUUGUAGCAGCAGGAUGUAUGAUGAAGCAGCAAAAUGAAUGAUAAAGGUCUUGAGAACUAGAGCAGCCUAAUCUAACAGUAACCAGCAGGCCCUUAAAAAUUUUGUGGAUGGAGUUCUUUGAGUAGAAAAUGAGGUUGACAAAGAAAAUUCUAGAUUAGCUAAAACAAUCUCCAAUAGUUGCACUUGUAGAAAAUUUGAAUAAUCUAGGCAGAGAAACCGGAACUGCUCUAUGGAGGCUUGGAUACUCCAACUAUCUCAAUACAGACACCUGUAGUUAUAAACAGCAUGAUAUAGCAUUUUCAGUAUAUGAAAAUAUCCCCAGCCCCACCCAUCCUUCCAAUUUCAAGAACACCCAGUGGUAAUUAAAACUUGACUAUAGGGGGACUUCUAUUUGAUACCCAAUUUCACCAUCAGAGUUGGAAAAUAUAUUGCUAGAGGAUGAUAAUGAAAGAGAGAAGAACAUUUUAUUUUUCUCUUAAGUAUACAGUGCCAAUUGAACAGCAAAGAUCAUAUUUUGAGAAGAGAGAGAGGGUUACCUUUCCUUCUGCUGUACGAGCAGACAGUGCAAUCUUCAGACCUAGUCGCCGAACCUUCUUGUUCAGCUUGAUUGCAUGGCUCCGAGGCUUAGGGCCAUGCAUGAUAGCACCGCCCCUAAACUGUUACAUGGCCAUCAAAUUAUUUAAGGUUUACCAAAACCAUCUUAGGGAUGGUCACAUUGAAAGCAAAAAAGUAACCAGAUACUUAAUAAGCGAAACAAGAGAUUACCUGGGGCCCACGCAGCGUUCCAUGCCGUGCUCGACCAGUGCCCUUUUGUCGCCAUGGCUUUCUCCCAGUUCCACUAACCUCGCUAAUAGUUUUAGUUGAAUGGGUUCCCUGUAAACCAUCCACCCAGAAAAGUAAAUGCUAAGUCCCCAUUGAUUACAGUUUGAUUAUCAAUUAGACAAUAUGGAUGUUUACAUCUUUCACUUGGAUCAAGACACUUUUGGUCAACAAACAAAAUGAAAUGAAGCAUAACUAGUAUUGUUUAAUUGGUUGGAUUUCUUAAAUAAAAGAAUAGCAAGGCUUGACAACAAAAAAAAAAUGAAAAUUACAAACUCUUCCACAACCCUCAAUCUCUAACAACAAAGAAAAACAAAAAUCAAAGAAAGAAAAACACAUACAUACAGAGGGAAAUACAUCAUAACUUUGAAAAAUCAAGGAAGAACAAGAAUAAAGUAUUUUCUACUUUCUGCCCAUGGGGUAUUAGCAGUUGUUUCCGGCUGUUGUUUCCCUCCUAAGGGUAGGUUCUUAUGCUUUACUCACCCGUCCGCCAGUUUAUUAUGAAUGGGAAGAGCACUUAUUAGCAUUUUCUCACAAUCAAAUUUUGUUUUGGCUCCAUUAUUGCAAGAUAAUAUAUGCUUUGGUGUCGAAACAUAAAUAAUACCUGUUGUCUUUUUGCAAGCUGCCAACGUACAACACGAUGAACAAUAUCCUUCCUAAUAGGUACAUCAAAGACAUCACCAGCUAAAACCAUGAAGCCUUUGUCUUCAUUAUGAAAAUUUGUCACAGGAAUUACCAGGUCCUGAUAGUGCCCUACAACAUCAAUAGAACUGGAGAAUUCAGAAUCUUGAAUGAGCUUUGAAUUAAAUGAACAUUGAUUAUGCCCUGCUAUUUACCUACAUGUAAGAUCACCCGCUUAUAAGUUCUUUCUUUCUUUCCUUAGAAAAAAAAAGAUUAGGGACAAUCCCUUUUGAAGUAUUCCCAGUGCAUGGUGGAUUUACUGGCUUAAAGUCAUUAUAGAACGAUUGAAGUAAAUAUUUUCAAAUUUAAGCAACUGUGGUACAAUUUUUCAGCCACAAAAUAUCUCAAUAUAAUAUUUCAACUUUUUUUCAUACCUGGAGUACGUUCUGGUGUUAACACAGUCUUUGUGGAUAAUAACUCGGGUGGAAAUGCAACUCCACUUGAUUCAGGAGUCAGGAUGGUAGUAGUUGAAAGGCUUCGAGAAGAAAGGAAAGAUGAACCAGUCUGCAUUGAAAUAAGAAUAACAAGCUCAAAUAGUCAAGAGCAACAUGAAGUACAAAAAAGAACAAAGAACCAAGAAAUUAUCAGGUCAAAUGGAAAAAGAUGCCACAUGGAUCAAACAAGAAUCACAGAUGAGAUUUCAAUAACUAGGAAUGUAUUAGAACUGAAAAAAAGGAGGGGGGGGGGGCGCGGGGUGGGGUGGGGGGUGUCCUUGUAAUGUAAUACAACAAGAAUUGAGGCCAUCAGUACAUGAGGUAGGAAGAUGGUCUUAGACAGAAUCUCGGGUAAAAGAUAAGCAGAAAAAUAUCUUCCACCCCACCCUGUGUGAAUGCAAGGCCAGAAAGUUACCUAAGUGUCAUCUUGAUCUAGUGAAAAGCCUCCUUGGUAAGUUGCUUGACCAAAGGCAAGACUACUACCAAUUAGAUUUUAUUUUCAAAUGCAUCAAGGUGAACCAAAAAACCUCCGUUCGUAAGGGCAAUCAGAAACUAACAUGAAUAGUAACUGAAGAAUAACAAAAGCGGACAAAUUCCUAUGAAAGGAUUAUAGAAUAAAAAAUAAAAAAUUGUAUCGGAAUAAAAAUAAAAAAUAAAAUUGAUAAAAAAUGACAUAGAAUCACAAAACACACACACCAGUCCUAGAUAAUAGAAAAAAUAAAUUCAUAAUGAAGGAAAAGACAGAUUCACCAUGUACCUUGCAAGAGGAAUCCGUGGAAAAUAAGCCAUCUUGAGAGACAAGGCCACACAAGGCUGUGGAAAGAUAAAAUAAUACCAAAAUUAAGAAGCCACAAAAUGGUCUAGCUGGGCAAACCAGAUGAACAAUCAUUUUCUUAAAAUAUAUAUAUAUCCCUCACCAUCAGAAGUACGAAACAACGGACACAUAAUCAUUGGAGAAUUACAGUGCCCAAACACACGUGAGGGACCAAAAGUCCGUAAAAGCCUUCUGGAUAUUGAUACAGCCAUUCCUCCAAUAGAAACUAGGACUCAGUUGAAGUAGUUUCCAGAAGUAGCAUGUGAAGCUCAACAGUGCAUCCAAAGUUCAAAUUCAUCCAAAACCUUUCACUGUAAAGAAACAUGCGUUCAAGUUUCAAACCCAAAAUCAAGUUUUACAGCCCAACCAUGAUUAUAGAAGAAUUAAAAGAACCCAAAUACUUUUCCAUUAUCAAUAAUGUUAUACACUUCUUGCCAACUCCAGUUUCUUGGUGCUAGCCUUUCACAACCUAGGACCAUCCAAUAUAGAAACAAAGUUCAAUAUUUGCAUCUAAAACAUCGAACAUACUGUUUGAUAUUGAUUAACUCAACUUGUUAAAAGAUUGUCAUUCUAUGGACAUAAGAAGGUGGAAUUUCAGAGGUAUUUAGCACAGAACUUUAUAUCCAAGAGAAAAUAUAUCAGCUUGAAAAGUAUUCAAAUAAAUGUCAAUCUUAAUAGUAAAACAUGGACAGGUAGGCUACCACACUGGGCACCAUUAGACAUUCAUAUAGGUGGAUAUUUAGGCUGCUACAAAAAUGCGUUUCCAUGGCCACCAUUGAAGUCCUCCAAUAAAAAAAUUCUUCAAUAAGUUUAUCUAAAAAUUUGCUUAUAAACCCCAUAUAAUAACCCAUAUAAUAUCAAAUAAGGCAAAUCAGCACAAACAUUUUUAUGAUUACAUUCCAUCUUCAUAAACAUAAUUCAUAACAAAAUACAAACACAAAUAAUGCAAUACAAAAGUUUCUACAACCUAAAUAUCCAUAUAUCUACUCAAGAACUUGGCACCAAUUGGUUGUCAUGCAAUGACUUACUUUUACUUUGCUCUCCAUUAUUCCCACAUUCCCAGAAGCCCCAAAAUUUAGCAUUUGUUUCAAGACUACCAUGACCCAUCAUAAGAACCAUUUGACCCAAAAUCGCAAGCUAAAGAAUUAAACAAAUCUCUAUCAGAGACAGGCAUUUCUUUAAACACCAGGCAAGCAUCCCAAACCCACUCCACCAUCAUAUACAUGAAGAUUACACCUUUCUCUCCCAACCCACUUCCCAAAUCCGCAUUUUCCCAAAUACCCUGAAAAAAAUCACAUGCCCACGGCUCUAAUCUAAAAAAUGAAUCUAAUUUCAACCCAGUUUUGGCAUGAGGUCAACCUCAGCUUGAGCAUCUAUCACCAUUUUUCUGGGUACAAAUUCCAAUAACACCUAUCAUUAAAAAACCCCACAUCCAAAGUUCUAAAAAACUGCACGUUGAACCUCUUAACCACAACGUUUAUAUUCGUUAAAAUGAACUGAAUUAGCCUCAGUCUCCCAUAUACUAAAGUGUCAAAUACCAUGAAAUGGUAAAUAAUAUCAUAAACAAGAUCUUUCAAGUAUUGAAUACCUGCGAUCGAUUGAAGAAACAGAAAUAGAAACGCAGCUUUGAGGAGGCAGUGGUGGCGGUGGCGGGGACAACGACUGCGACGGCGGGAUGGGACCGUCUAAAUGUUCUCGAGGGAGUCGACGGUAGAGGCAGGGCAGCGAGAGAGUGAAAUGGCGAUGGAGCGGAAAACCCCAGUUCCAAAACCUUGGGGUUUUGUGGGCCUAGUGGGGUUAUGAAAUGGGCUCUAAUUGCGAAGCCCAAUUGGGGUCUAGCUAAUGGGCCGGUCCCAUUUUCCACCUUGGCCUUUCCCUAUGCAGACAUGUUAUGUGGGCCCAUAUAUCGGUCAUGGUAUGUAUCUGGACACUACAUGGAUUUUUUAUGCUUAGAGCCUAAAGGAUGUCUUUUUUUUUUUGGUAAAUAAAAACCAUCGAAAAUUAAUAAUAACUAUAUUAAACCACAAGGCAUUAGAGCCUGUUUGGGGUGAUUCUGUUUGAAAUACUUUUAUCCAUAAUGCUUUUGUUAGUAACAAUUCCAUUAAAAGUGCUUUUAAAUAAUGUUUCAAAUAAUUUUCCAAAUUUUUAGAAACAAUUUUAAAAUUCUUACCAAACACGUGGUGUUUGUUUUUUCAGUAUUUUACCUAAAAGUAAUUUAUUUUCAGAAUUUAAGUUGUUUGUUUUUUUACUUUUUCAUGACUUAUUAUAAAUUUUUUACUGAAUAGAAAAAGUCAAAUGGUGUUUGUUUUUUUGCUUAACUCUAAAUAGAACUUUAAUGUUUAAUAGUGUUAAAUAUUAGGUUGUUUGUUUUUAUAGUAUUUUAUUUCUAUUAAGUAUUCAAAAGUAAAGAAAAACCAAUAUGUUAUUUUUUCUAUUUAGAAAAAGUUACAUAUUUUGGCUUUUUCUAUUUAGUAAAAAGUUUAUAAUAAGUCAUGAAAAUGUAGAAAAACAAACAACCUAAAUUCUGAAAACAAAUUAAUUUCAACAAAAAGCCAAAAAAAACAAACACCACCAAAAUAAAUAACUUUUUCUAAAUAGAAAAAAUAACAUAUUGUUUUUUCUUUAUUUUUUAAUACUUAAUAGAAAUAAAAUACUACAAAAACAAACAACCUAAUAUUUAAAACUAUUAAGCAUUAAAGUUUCAUUUAGAAUUAAGUAAAAAAACAAACAUCACCUUAGGGUUUGUUUGGAAACUGUUUUUGAGAAUAAUUUUUUAUUCUCCAUAACAAAAAAUACAUAAAUUAUGUUUGCUAACCAAAAAUUGUUUUAUAUUUUUUGAUCUUAAAAAUAGAAAACAAGGUGUUUUCAAAUAAUGCAUUUCAGUUGUUUUAUAUUGUUUUUACUUGUAGUUUUUAGGUUUGUUUUAAAAAAUAAUUAUAUAAAUACAUAAAAUAAUUAAAAAUAAAACACUACAUAUAAAAAUUAUUUUUAAAAAUAUUAAAAAGAAAUUAAAAACAUUUUAGAUUUUCAAAUAGAUUUUUGUUCUAUAAAACAUAAAUAAUAGUUUUCAAAAACUAUUCUUAAAAACAAUUUUUUUUAAUUGUUUUUUAAAAUAGUUAUCAAACAAACACUUAAUAUUUAGAAGUGUUUUCUUAUAAAAAUUAAGUAUUCAUUGAACUUUUUAAACAAAUCAUUUGAUAAAUAAUGCUUCCUAAAAUAAUUUUUUUAUUAUAAUAAAUAUUACAAAAAUAGUUAUUAUUAUUAUUUUUAAAUCAAAACAUUAAAAUAAUUCUUCUUAAAAACAUUUUUAAUAGAAGUAUUGUUACUAAUAAAAACAUUAGUAGAUAAAAACUUUAUUGAAUAAAAUUAUGAGAAAUUCAUUUUCUUUAAUUUUUUUUUCAAAACUUCAAAUGAAAGUAUUAUUAAUAAAAAACAUUACUUGGUAAAAAAUAUUUUAACCAAAAUUACUUCUCAACAAGUUCUAAAUUUCAAAUCUAAAAUUUAUAAGAAAAUACAAAAGGAAUUAGAGCAUGUUGUAUUGAAGAAAAAUAUACUUUAUAGAAAAUCUUUAUAAAAAUGGUGCUUUUGUAUGUUAGAUCUUUGGCCGGAUUUUAGCAAAAAUGAUAAAUUUCCUUUUCUCCUAUUUAGUGAUACUAUUUUUUAAUUUUUAGGCAAGGUUUGUUUUUCAAAAAAUUUGUGGAAAAAUGUAAAGGAAAAGAAAAGUAGAAGGACAAAAAAGAAAGAAAGAAAAUAAAAAAAUAUAUUAUAAGUUAAUAAAUGAUUUUUAUUUACUAUUUCGAACUUAUUUUAACUCAUCAAAUUAAAUAAUUUAAAAAUACAUAAAUUUUUAAUUAAUUUUAAUUAUAUUUGAUUUUCUUUUAUACUUUUCAUAAAACAAUCAAAUAUGAGAAAAAUCAUUUUUUUUUUUUUUACAUUUUGUUUUGUUAGUAUUUUCCAGUAACCAAACAUGAUUUAAAGUUUUAAUCUUGAUUAAGAUUAUUUUUUAAUUGAUAAUUUGAUAAUUUAAUCUUCAUGUGUUGUUAAAAGGAGAUUUGAUUAUUUGUUAAUGCUUUAUUCUUUUAUCAAUCCAUUCCUCUUUAAACCCUUAUCCAAACCUUGACCAUUUAGAUCAAGAUUAAGGCAAGUAAUCAUGUAAACCAACAUUCUCCAAUGAUUAAACCCAAACCCAUACCCUAAACCCUAACUAACUUUCAAAAGGUGUAGUCUUAAAUGACUAAACCCUAAGCCCCACCUCAAAUAGCCUAAAAUGAAGUCCUAAAAAGCCCCAAACACUAUCCCCUAAACCCUAGCUCCCUUUGCUGCUUCAUCAAGUAUAAUGUGGACACCAGUAAAACCCAACUCACCAGAGGCACAAUGAGAGAUGGUAAACCUAUAUUAAUAUAUCCUAAAUACCCAAGUUAAAACGUUGUCUACUUUAUCCAUACUAGAAGUAUAACCAACCCUAUGUUCCAAUCAUUUGAGGACUUCAGUUAUUAAACUUAAACUCUUGACUCUAAACCCUAAACCCAAAAUCCUAAUUAACUAAACCCUAAAACUCAAAUUAGGGUGCAACUUAGACUAAAUCAAGUAUUUUUUCAUUAACUAGAUCAAUAAUGACUAUCAAACUAAAUCACCGCAAUCACCUGCCACCAUCUUGUUUUUGGGUUUUUAAGAUCUUUGGCGACUACUACUGCAAUUGGAAUUGAUUCAAUUUCAUUGAUCUAAGAUGGCCAAACAGAAGAAAAGCACUUCAAAGAACCACACAACAAUACCCUUAUAAAAGCAAAGUGACUGAGUUUGGCUCAAUUUCAUUAGUGGAAAUUAAGCAUCAUCCAACGUAAGCUUUAGACUACCAAUAUGAAAGUAGAAAGGAGGUUAAAACCAGGAACCAUGUACAUUUCAAACUUCUUGGCUAUGAAAUCUCAGCCAUUCCAAAGUGGAUUCACCCCAAGUACAAGAACCACAACACAAACCCAUCACUUGAAAAACAUUUUUAAGGGAGGACGAGCUGCAUUUAGCAGUCUGAUUUAGUAUUAAAUAGGCAAAACAUAGAUACAAGUGGUAAGAGUACAGUAAUAUAUAUAACACCAUUCAAUAAUAUAUAAAGCUACAGAUUCAGAAAUGCAGUUGCAUUUUCAAUAGUUUAAGCCGGCCAUCUUCCAUCUUCAGAGGAGAGUUGGGGAGAGAUCCAUGGGAAAGGGAUUGCCCAAGACAUUGUCCAUGUAAUAGUGGCCUGGAUGUGUGGCAUCCAUAACCACAAACUGCAUAUCUUCUGAGGGCUUCCAGUGCCGCUUCCUUUGGUUAAUGAACCAGUUGUUUAUUUGCUUCUGAUCCAGGCCUGUGGAUUCUGCAAGAGCCAACUUCUGCGACUCCUGUUGACACACAGUUGCACCAUGGUGAGUCAAUAAAAAACAGAAUAUUGAGUUUGGGUUCCUAUUUUAUGAUGCUGAAAGCACCAGAAAAAGUACUCAGCAGGGGGUGCUCAAGUGCAUACCUAACAUAUAGAAAACAAAAAACAAGUUUGAUAGGGGAUGAAAACCGAGACAGACAAAACGCCACCAGGGGGUGCUCAAGUUCUGAUUGAUUCUUGAUACCCCAAAGGGCACUUACAUUGUAGAUUAAUUAGUGCUCAGAAUCUAAUAUAACCAUGAUUAUGGGCAUUAAGAAGUUUGUAGGGAAAACAGUACCGAUGGGUAUGGCCAUUUGUAGUGUCUGCUCCACCAAUCCAGCAACUGCUGCCGGGCUUCUUUAGGUAGCUUUCCUUUCUUUCUCUUCUUCAUGAACUCCUGCUUGAGACUGCUUAGAUAUCCACUGUACUUGCGCAGAAGCUGGCCUUUCAGUUCCCUGUCCUCUGCUUGAGGAUCAAUGAAGUUGUUAUUUACAUCAACUUCUUCUUCAGAUGAUCCAUUUCUAUCAAGGCCCUCGCCACCAGCUGAUUACAUUGAAAAUUUAUCAGCACUUCAUACAUGAGAGUUUCUGUUGACGGUAAUGACAACUUUAGACAUAAUAAACUAGAUUAUGAUACUACUCUAGAUUCAUCGUGAAUCUAAAUAGUUCCAUAGUGAUACUGAAGAAAUACAAAGCAAAGAUUAGAUUACAAUACUAUUCUAGAUUUGUCAGAAAUCUAUAUGGUUCCACAGUAAUGCUGAAGAAAAACAAAACAUAAUGUUCCACUGUAAUGAUCAUUGAACGAAACAGAAUCCAAUAAAUCAGGUGCACAUGCAUAUAUACUAUUAGGUUGCUCCCAGGUUGAUGCCCUAGUUGGGGACAAAUUAGUCACAAUGAAAAUUUCGUUCCAUGUAAAUUUCAACAGAUACCUUUUCACUAUUGAUACCCCUAAAUAUUCUCCUGGGAAGAAUCACAUGCUGAAAAAAUAUUCUUCAGGUCAUCAAACAAGAAGACAAUCUUAUCAAUAUCAUAAAUUGUUCCCAUCGAAUAUUUGCUUGCAAGCUGAUACCAAACAUGAUAAAUAGUUUCGAGAAACAAUAUCAUGAAUUGUUUCUAUGCGCAGAUUCUUUCCCUGUUCACAAAGAUAAAGCACAUGCAUGCACCACAAAGUAAAACUUACAGAAUGUGAUCUCCUAGAUUGGGAUGUGUACUAAUAUCAAGAGAAGCUAGUUUCACCACAAAUUUUCCUUAGAUUCAAAGGCAAAACCAACGAUUGGUGAAAUAACAAAAUCUGAUUGGGUGGAUUUUCCGUAUGAGCACGCCUAUAGAAAUCUACUAGCAGUGAAAUAAUGUUUUGAUCUUGAUAUACAGGUUUAAGGUGCUUGGAAUUUUAGGUAAAAAUCUAGAUAGUUCCAAUAUAACUUUACCAUUGAUCUAUCAAGAACCUAAACUGAAUGCGUUUACUUGAACUUGACAAUAUCUGCACUUAAAAUUUCCUUCCAGUACUUUAUGCCAACCCUUGAAAUCUGCUGCUAGAGAUAACAAGAUCAAAAGUUUCUCAUAUACCAAAUUGCGAAAUUCUAAACACAUUUGUUCCUUUGAUGUCUGAGCAUGUUACUUAGCGGUUAAAAUCGAAGAUAAAAGCUUGCUAACAACAUUCUGAUAUUAAUUAUGCCAACUACUAUAGCAUCCAUUAAUAGAGCAUCUAAUCCUAGCACUUUCAACUUCACAAUUUAAACCCAUCAUUAAACCCUAAUCAAUAAAAAAUUUGAAGGAAAAUAUAUAUCCAAAGAAUAUUAAUAUUAUUACUACUAGCUCAACAAAUUGAAUGUUCCUAUGGAAAUUCUGAUAACCUUUUUGUAUAUAUUCACAAUAAACAUGUCCCUCCAUACACAUUAACCCAGUAUAUCUAGUCGGCACCAUCUUCAUUAUCACCUAGACUAAACUAAUUCAAUAUUGAACUACAUAGUAUUUAAAUCUCCCAAAGACUAAAAAUGAAAAUUAACCCAUAAGUAGUUCCACUUCCACCUAGGUUUUUCAUAUACACACAAACACACACAAUCGACAAAUAUUUUUUUCUCCUGAAAGUGCCCCUUCAAAAUUCUGUAUUGUCUAAAAAGGCCUAGUGUCUCUAAUGCCAGCUAGUUGUGCUUCAUAGAGAUUCUUUUUAGGCCAAUAGAUGUUCUUUUUAUCCAAGUCCAAAAAGUAGAAAAAAUAAUCUUGGUCUCCCUAUUAGAAGGCCUUCUUUUUAGGCAUACCUUUCUUUUAAUAUCAUCACUUCAAACAGUACUGGGACACAUCCAGCAAGAUCUAUUGCAGGCAAAUUUCAGGUUUAUAUAUAGACACCUGUAUGGGAAGUUCAUUCAAGUACUAGUUCUUGAAAUAUGUUGACAGAGGAUAUAAUAAUAAUUAAUUCAAUGGUACUAUCCCAUAUAAAAGAAUAUUUCAGAAAGUACUGCAAUCAUAUUCAAGUGGAUUAUAUUGAUAAAAGUAGGUGAUCAUAUCAAAACUAAUAGCAGCAGAACAAAUUAAGUAGAGCAUUAUAAGCAGUCAGAAGGAUGCCCUAAAAUAAAACCAAAUAAAAGAAAAUAAAGAGACAUAAAUCAGUUAAUCUUGAUAAUUCAGACACUGAAUAACAUCCAAUACUGGAUCAGUAGCUUACUACUACAUCCAAUGAGUAUCAUUGUCAAACUUCAUGCACCUUAAACUAAGAUAUAGGGGACUGAACUCCAUGAUGAUUCAUCAGCAUAAUUAAUGUGUAAUGUGUCAUUACGCAGUCCCAAAACUCAAAAAAAAUUGCGGUUAUCUAGAAAGAAAAUCAUUUGCUCAAGAAGCUACAGUUAGGACUAUCAGUAGGAUAUGUAAAAGCAGAUUGAAGAGAAAGAUGCAGUCAGGCACUUCAUCCAGUCACUUCACAACAAACUGUUAAAUCAUAUUGUGGCUAUAUACAUGGUUUCUGUGAAAUAUUAAAGCCAUAGAAAUCAAAUCUCCAUCUAUUCCACCAGCACUGGUGUAAAUGGAGAAAACUAAUAAAAUCUAUACCGAAAACAAACGUAGCUAGCAGGUUCUUGCACAGGAUUUUUGAACUAGUUACAUAUGUUUAAUUAAUCCUCUUUCAAAAGCAUGAAAUAAGGUUAAUUUCUCAUCCUCUUCUUUAUUCCAGCACUACUGACAUUCACAAGUGCAUGCUAGAGGCCUGGGGUUCUAUCUCUCUUACAUUAUUGAUUACCAUCACUUUGGACCAUGAAAACAGACCAUGAAAAACCAGCAUGCUAUUCACAAAUUCUUGGGAAGGAAAACAAAAACUCUGAAUAGAAAACUAAUAAAAUAUUUCAGCAAAGAAAUCAUAUAUAAUCAAACUUUAAAAGCAUAAAUAUAUUAGGAUUGAUGUUGAGCAAAGCAAAAAAUAAAGAAAAUUGAAACUACAAGGUUUUCUAGCAUAUAGAAAAAGAGAAAGAAAGCCACAGGACUAGGCAGAAAGUGCAUUAAUAGAUUCACACACAAAGACUAACAAAGAUACAAGACAGUAUUAAUUAACUGUAAUUCAAAAAUAAAUGAUAAACAUAUAAAUGAACCCUAUAGAAAUCAACAAUAUUAUAUCAAAAUAGUCAAGCAUCCGUACAAAAUCAAAACUAUCAACACUGCACUUAGAUCACAUCUGUCAAACUCCUAGUCCCUUACAAAAUAAUUGCACCUAAACAAGGAUUCGAUCUUACUAGAGCAACAAAUGGACUCGACUUUUUUUCAUUUGGCUACUAUGAUGAUAGAUGUUACACUGCAUCCCACUUGUCUGUUAAAAUCUUUGUAAUUUAUCAAAUAAGAAACACUGGAUGUGACACUGCAUACUCAAUUUGUCUGCUAAAAUCCUUAUAAUUUGUGAAACACUAAACACAAGAAUCAAUUUUCACUCAAAUCUAAAUGCCUAGAUAUGCUUUCAAGGAUGCCACUCCAUUCCCAGAACCAUGCCCUCUAACUCCAGAGGGGGCCAGCCAUCCAAAAAGCAAACCUUCCUUUGUUCCUGAUCAGAGUAACAAAGUUGGAAAACCCUCCCCAAAGCUAAGUCUCCUACAGUUUAAAUCAUGCAUGCUCCACAAUCAGGGCACAGCCAUUCCAACACACCCCAAAUGCUUUUAAGAUUUGUCCCUAGUGCCAUUGCCAGCUCCAUAUUGUGGGCACUGAUGUUCAAUCACACCCCAAAAGAAUUCCUGCAACAUCUUUCCAUGCAAUACAGUUCAAGUUAAAUCUUCAGCAUCAAACAAAAUAUGCACCUUGCUACCUGUAACCUGAUCCAGGAUGUCACCGGAACUCAGAAAAAAAAAUUAAUAAAAAAAAAAAGGCAAAGGGUUUUGCAGUUCCGCUUCGCAAUUCUUACACAUUCACCAAAAGCCAAACCCAUCUCAAUUGAUUUCUUACUUCCCCGGAAUUUCUUUGAAAACCAGUUAAAGUUGCACCGGUACGCUUGUUUGGAUAGAGGAGACAAGCAGCUAAUUAAAAGUCACAGUCAACAUCAAAUUGGGAAAAUAAUUGAGAGGCCAUUUUCUUCAAAAACAUAUUCCCUAAAAGCUGCAAAAAUGAGCGAAUAUCUAGCAACCCAGCACCUGAAGAGGUUAUAACAAACACAGAAAGGCCAGUUGAGGAAACACACACAACGAGAAGAGAAGAGAAUCAAAGCUAAGGAUGUAUAAAAAAUUCCAUCUCCACGUACCGAGGAAACCCUAGUCCCUGAAAAAGUACAAUACAUACACGAAAGAGAAGCAGAAAAAAAAAUUAUAAAACAACAAAAACAGAAAAAAGAAAAGAAAAUACCAGAAAACAAGGAUUAAAAAACUAAGCAGCCACUGCAGGAGGCAAGCUCUAUAAUAUUGUUGAUUAGUACUAUUUAGCCUCUUUGUUCUUGGGAAACAAACACAUGCAUGUCUGGUUAUUAUAAAAGUAAAUAAAUAAAUCCAACUACUAAACAAUCCAUAAAUAGCUAGGAUCUUUUAAGUUUCGCUGAUGGAACGAAGGAGAUGGAGAGAGCGAGGUCAUCACCAGAAUCAGAAGAAGAAACUGUGAGGGCUUUGAACUGGCACUCGACCCUUGAGAGAAAAAGCAUAGCUUCCUUGAAGGGUUUGGAGAGCUCUUGCUCGUACUUGGUCAGCAUCUCACAGUAGGCCUCCAUGAAUUGAUCGAGAGCCGGAUCCUCGCCUAUGCAGCUUGUUCCAGUGCGAACCAUGGCAGCCUCAGAUGCACAAGCUUCCUCUAAUCUUGCAACUACUUCAGGUGGUGCUCCGACCUGUCAUCAGAUUUGACAGAAGUCAUGAAGAAAAAGGCAAAAACCGAGACUUGUCUCUAUCAUUUAGGUCAAAAGGUUUUGUAUCCUUCACUUCCUUGCAACAUAAAUCAAAUUAAGAACCACAACGUAAUGGGUAUGUAGGUUUCCGUCCACACAGUUCAUCAGUUCAAAGAAUUGAACAUGAAAUAUUUACCAGGAAAUGGGCAUAUAGUGAUUGAAUUGUCUAUCUUUUAAGCUGAAAAAGGCAGAGAUGUUGAUAAGUGGGUGCAUAUAUACAUGUGUUGGAGAGAAAGAUAGAGAUGAGGACAAUAAUAAUAGCUUUCCGGGUAUUUGGCUUUCUGAGUGAAAAUUUUUCGUUCUUCACCUUUUGGCAAUUGGCAUAGGCGGCCAAGAGACGGUGGUAGUGAGGAUGAGCCAUGAUCUUAGCCUUGACAGAAGAAGUGCUGCCAUCGUUGUUGCCAUGGGUUUCCAUGAAAUAACACCCAGGGUCACUGCCGUGGUGGUUGUUGGUGGAGGUGGUGGUGGUGUGCUGGUUAUGGUUGUGAUUCUCCAGUAUCAGAGAGGAGCCUCUACUGCUGUUGCGGUUAAGGUCGUGAUUGUGGUUGGGAGGCAGAGGAAGAAAUAGGGUAUUUGCGUCUGCAGCAUUAGGAUUAGAUGUAGUCAUGAGAGGCAUCAUCAUCAUAGGACAUAGUCCAUUACUACUGUUGUCUCCAAAAGCCAUCAAACAAGCAGUGCUACUAGAACCACCCUCCAUUAUCUCUCACUUUCUUAUCUUUCCAUACUUAUAUAACCAUCUCUCUCUUUUCUCUCUCUCUCUCUCUCUCUUCUUCUCUUUACUAAGAUCGUCUUUUGUCUCUCCAGUGCUCUCCCGGUUUUUAUGCUACAACUUUCAGCCUUUUUACAGAAAAUCCUAAAUAUUGGUAGUAAUAGUAGUCAGCUGUGAAGGGUUUUUCCCCUUGGCUUCGUCUGUAAAGCCUGUUCAGAUUUCCUUUGGAAAUGGGUGUUUUUCUUUCUGGGCAUUAACAGCAUUAACUCCUCUCUCUCUCUCUCCCCUUCUUUGGCUCCCUCUCUGAGUGAGAUCAAUGAGAAGUGAGAGAGAGAGAUGGGGUUUCACAGUGCACGCGGUGUAAGCCACUGUAACAACAGCUUAGAGCAAGGGACGCCUACGCCUAAUGUUUUUAUUUAUCUUGCAAAGCUUUACCUUCCCGAUGAAAACUCUCUCCCUCUUUUCUUGCACUGCCACUGAUAGACUGCCAUUACUGGCAAGAAAGGAGAAGAAAAAAUGUUAAAACAAGAGAAGGUAGAGAGAGAGAGAGAGAGUAGUGGAAAGAAAGAGAGAGUAAUAGAGGAACGAUCAAAUCGAGGAAGAGCCAAGAUGGAGGUCUACAACUAGUGGUGAUGGAGGGAGAGAGAGAGAGAGGGAAAGGUCUUUGGGGCACGGAAUCACCACAACUCCUGUACUGCACUGCUUCAUAUCAAUCUGUCCACUCAUUUAAUAUUCGCUCGUGGAUUGUCCUCUUCUUUAUCUCUCCCCCAAACCCAUCAAACCCAAUCCCCAUCUCUCUCUUUCUCUCAAGAUUUUACUGAAAAUUUGCAGUUUUGAUGAAGCCAAACCAGAUGAGAAACGACGCCGUUUGCUUCAAAAGGGAAAAUUGCCCUGACAUAAUCUUUUCCCAGAAUUCAAAUCUCUCCCCCCAUCUCUCUCUCUUAUUAUUAGUCUCAUUCAUUCCAUCUAAUCCGUAAUUAUUAGCAUAGGAAAAGUGGGUUUCAGCUUAAAAAAAGCUGGAAAAGCUAGUGGGACAGUCCGAAUGUCUCUUCCACCUCUCUCUCUCUCUCCCCCCUCUCCGUCUCCCUGUUUCUGAGUUGUGGUAGCUUCACUCUCCUGUGAAAAAUCGUGGGAAACCACUCCAAUCACGGUGAACAAAUUGUCGCUAUUGGAUUGUCCCCUAUGACCCUGCUUACCUAAAAGCCUAAUCUCCGCUUACACCGCCACUGUUCCUCUCACUGUUAGUUCUACAACUCUGACCUCUACACUCUCUUUAAUGGCGCCUUUUUUAAGCUUUGUGUAGUGUACCUGUACCGCCAUCUUCUUUAACACACACACAUACAAAGGACAGUCAUUUCUCCGGCAUUUACACACACCCUAGCUACCAGAGUCGAGGAAUCUCAAGACUCCCAACCACAAGUCGAUUCUUACAGUCCCAACACUGUAGGUUUUUUCUCCUCCGCUUCCUGUGUCCCCAGUCAUACCCUACGUAUUGUCCCUUUUGCCUUCCUUGAACGAAGGUACAUGGUACAUGCAAGUAAUUGUUCUGCAAGCUUUAACUUCACUUCUUAUCAUAGACUUCGUUGGAUCCUUAUCCAAUUAAAUUCACCAGUCGAUUUAGCUGCAACAUAUUCUAUGUAAAUAUUUCUUCUCUAAUGUGUUACUAAUUAUAUUAGAGCAAAAUUCUGAAGACAUCAUGUUCGAUCAUUUUCAUUAUCCUAAUCAUAUUAUGUUUUCUCGUACCACUAUGUUUCAUAUGUUUCAACUACCCUAAUCACAUUAUUUUUAGCUAUUGGGCAGCGAAGAUUGACUCCAUGGAUCUUAAAAGGGAGUUAUGUAUUAAAUUAUCCUCAUUAAUUAGCCCUAGUGUGUGACAUUCUUUUAUUCUCCUAUUGUACUUUGCGCAUAGAACUUGUCAACUUCUAAUAUUUAGUGCUAAUAAUUGCUCUUUCGGGCUUUGAUCAUACAUGGGUAGGCCUCGUGUGGUCAACUAUUUUAUUGAUUCAGGAGCCAUUGCCACCUUCUGAGUUCUGUCCCCGUUUUUCCAUCAUGUCCUCAUUUCAAAUUAGACAUUUUUAUUUUAGAUUAUCAAGACCAAUGACCUCACCAUAGUCCCUUUUAGGUCUCACAGUUUCAUUUCACAUUCAUUAAACCCUAAACCCACCACACCACAUUCAUCCAAUGAGGGGUUCUUGAUUAAAUUCAUCAUGCACCCAAAAAAAUUGAAUAAGGGUUUUAGAAAAUUAGACACUUCAUGUGAAAGGAAACAUGGGUGGUGGAUGCUUAGGAUAGGAUGAGGUCAUUAGGGUUAGGGUUAGGGUUAGGGUUACAGAGGGCUAGGGUUUUGGUAGGAAGAUAAAGCUAUGGACAGAUAAAAUAACUAUAGUACGCGAAUCAGUCCCAGCAGCGUAAGAAUAAAAGAGGGGAGAAAGUUGAGAAACGUCACUGGUGCGAAGGUGAAGGUGGAGAAAGAAAGAGAGCAUAUGAGUGAGAGAGAGAGAGAGAGAGAGAGAGAGAGAGAGGGUGGGGUGGGGGGGGGCAUGAAGUUAGGCUCUUCCAAGCAAAGCUUUUCUGAUUCACUUUACGUCAUGUCCAUGGGCAGUAACCAUGAUACAAGUGAAAAAAAGGAGGAACAAACAGCUGCCUCUGCUGUUGGCUGGCAUUGAGUUCAAAGUUUUUUCAAAAUAAAUUCUCAAGCUGUCAUCAGACUCAUCAGUCAUCACAACCAGAUGUCACAGCAAUCAAUAACCAUGGAUACCCUUUUUAAACUAAGGUUUAUAUCUGUAGUUCAUGUGAUUCAGGUUAUUGAAAAGCAAACCCCUUUUCAGAAUUAUACAUAUAUUUCUUUAGCAAAAGACCAUGGUACCGAAAUUGAUACCAAAGCAAACAUGUAAUCUAGACCAUUUAAGUACACCAUGAAAUCUUAAUCAUUGAAGGAUAAUACAAAAAAUAAGAUUAAAAUAAAAAAAUUAAAUCAACUAUGAAAAAAAUAAGAUUUAGGUAUUAAAUAAAGAAAUCCAUUUAUAUACACGACAAUUUAUGAUCAAUCGAUUAUCUUUUCAACAUAAUUUAUGAUUAAUCAAUCAUCUUUUCCACGUUUAGGAAUGACUUGUUUGUUUAUUUAUACCUUGCACAUUCCUAUUAUGGGUGUGGAAACAUAAUUAUCUUUGCACACUUCCUUAAUCCCACACAUACCCACAAACCACCACCUUUUUUUCUCUCCUCUCUCGGCACUUCAACGAGAGGGAAGGUUAGAUGCUUGGUCCUAAUCAACAUAGAGUGCUCAUUAGUUAUAAUGCACUCUGAUGGCAUUAUUUUUUCAUACCUUAGCUAUUGUCUCUUAUGUCAAAGAGCAAUGCUAAAUUUAUCCAAGCUGCUUUUUCUAUGUAUGGGCUUCCUUUUCCACAGACUAACCAUCGGAUAUUUGGGCAGUAAUAGCAUUGAAAAAAAAAAAAAAAAAAACCAACUUUUUUUUUUGAAAGACGAUUUAGUUUCAAAAAGUUCCAAGCAACCUGUAUCUUUAAGAGACUAUUUUAAUAUAAGAUAAAUGAUUUUUAUUAAGUUCUUAUAGUGCAAAGAUUGAAACUGUUUUUUACAACUUUUUUUUUAACCCCUCAAAUAUCCCUAGACGACCAAUAUGAUUGUGGUUUAAUAUUUUUAGAUCUGAAUUCUACAGAAUUAAUCAAUCAAAUCCUCAUGAAUGAUGCAAAUUCAUAUUACAUUUGAAGCCUGUCACCCCCCUUUACACUUUACUUCAAACGUCAUCUAAAUUCUAAAGAUGAAGAAGAAACAAGAUAUGAUUUAAUGUGGGCUCACAUGCAUGCAAGGAAUCCAAUGAUGGAUUUCAGCCAGAAAAAAAAAAGGGGGAGAUCUAGCUCAGGACACAUUGAAUGAGUUUCCGGGUCUAGACAUCCACAUGUUGAGAAGGCAUGGCUUCAAUUACAGUUGCCCAAAACAUCAAAAUUGCAGAAGUAAAACAAUCUCCCAUAAUGGUAAACAACCAGCAUACUCAUACACCACUGGAUGUUUAGAAUGAUAUUUCAUGUGAUGAUCAUGUUCUAUGAGCAAGUCAGCCUAAAUGGUUAUUCAAUAAUACAUGGAUUAUGGAUGUGGAUGGUUUAAUUAGUCGAUUCGGUUUUGGAUAUUAAAAUCUAAUUGAAUCAAUCUAAUCGGUGUUUAUGCAUUAAGAAUCAAACUAAUUAAACUUAGGGAGGAAAUUUAUCGGUUCCUAAGUCUGUUUGCUUCGUUAAUUGAUACUUUUUGUUAAUUUCGACUAGAACCAAAAAACUUAAAUAAUAGUAUUAUAACAAUUUAUCUUAUGAUUUGUUUUUUUAUUACAUUAAUACACCCAUUUCAAAUUAUAUUAUUGUAACCGAAUGUUAUGAAUAACUAUUGUGAUUGUCUCUCUAUCAACUAUAGAUUAAGCAUGGUUUGGAAUCAUAUGAAAAAUAUGGAAUAAAUUAAUAAUAUGACCGAUAAAAAGUUAUAAACCUUUGGUUUUUUAUGUUUAACUUUUGGUUCGGCUUGGUUUCUCAUCAAUUUUUAAAAUAACAAAUGGUGAUUCCUAGAAUCUGCAUCAAGGGUGCUUAUACCUGAUCAUGACUUUGCAGUAUCACACAGAGAUUUGGAUCUGCUAUUCUAAUACAUGGCUCUGAAAGUUUUUCAGUUGCUUCACAUCAACAUACCAGAAGUUACAACUUUACAAAGAAAAAUUGCUACCUUUUUUGAAGAACAUACCAGUUAUGAAUUCCAUUGUGUUAAAACUCACAAAUUUUCUAAAAGACUUAAAAAAUGAUUGGGAAUAAACUGUAGAAGAAGCUAAUAAGUAUAUAAUAUUCUUUUUGGAUAAGAAUGACACUGGUGCAAUUAUACUGCUCUUAAACCUAGGGAUGGGUUAUCUAAAUGAUGACUUUUAGAAUAGCCCGUAAGAUAUGAUUUCAAAUAUCAUAAAAGGUUUGAGCUACUUUCACUAACCACCAAUUAAUUUUCAAAUGAGAUAAUCAAAGUUUGAUUCAAUAAUUGGUAUCAGAACUAAGGUUUUUGGGUUCAAGUCAUAUAAAAGAUUAUUAUGGUGCAAAAAUAUUGCUCUUGAACCCGAAAAUGGAUCACUCAAAUAAUGACUUUUAGAACAAGUUCGUAAAUUAUGAUGUCAAAUGUCAUAAAAAAUUUUGCUCAUCCUCAUCAACUACAAAUCGGUUUUCAAAUGAAAUAUUAAUCAUAAUUCUAAUAUUACUAUAAGUUAUUAAAUUUUAAAACUAAUAGGAUAUGAACUCAGCAGGUGAUAGUUUUAUUAGCUAUAUUGGAAUGUAAAAGGAAUAUGGUUUAAUGUUAUAAAUAGAUAAACAUUGAUGGACUUUGUCCUGGAAGAGAUGAAGGUCCAAGGUUUAUGAAUAUCAUACUUGUUAAUGGUACGAUAGUGGUAUAGUGGUGCUAUCAAAUUAAUGGGAUAAUGAAGUAGGGUUCAUUGGACGAGAGGGAAAAAUCUUCAAAAAAAGGAAAAAAAAAAAAAGUGACGGGUAUUUCAAAAUGCUUAUCUAAAUUGUUUCUGAUCAUGAAUACAACUCACUAAUUUGGACACACUAAAAGAAGCCAUUAUGCAAAUCUUGUUGGCGAACAGUCUAAAAGAAGUCUUGGUAUCAACCAGGCAAAGGGGGUCAUACUUACAAUCAAAUCAUGGAGUCAACUUGUAAGUUAACUCUCAUCAAUAUCCCGAUUGGAGAAACACCAAAAUACCCUGAAAAUGGUGGGUCCAAAAUGUCCCUUUCAAGGCGUGUGUACACCACAUAAGAGAAUUGAAGGCCCCCACUAUCUGACUAUCCUCCAUUAAUGCAGGCCAAGCCCCUAAUUAUUUAGCAGGACUCCCUCAAAACAAGUUGGAUGGCACCUCGCUGGCCAGUUGUUUCGAGAUGGGUAUGCGGUGAAAUAUCAAUAAUAAUAAUAAUGCAGUGUGUUUUUCACUGUUCAUUCACUUACAACUUACAAGUUUGAAUAAACAGGACUUUGCUUUUCCAUAAACAGAUAGCCUGUCCUGUGUUCCAUGUUCCAUGAGUGGCUUUUGUAUUUUGUCUCUUUGACAUGACUCCCCUUUCCCCUUGCAUCUUUAUUGAGUGAUUGCUCCACUGUGUAUAUAAUAAUAUUGAUGAGAACUGCCUCUUCUCUUGAGGGACUUGUAACUGAUUUAUGGUAAGGGGGGUAGUGUUUGUUGUGUGGCCCACACAUGAGUGAUGAAAACCCCUUUGAUGGGCCAAACUCUAGAGAGAAAGAGAAAAAAUCUUUGAAAUGGUAGGAUUAAUAGUUGUUUUUUGGCCGACAAUGUGUUGCUUUUUCUUGUCUAAUCCAUGGCACUAUGAAUGGAGAAGAACUAUUGCCAUCGAGAUGAUUUGGGACUAAGACGUUGGGGUAGCCUGAUUUCGUACCUUCUCUCCAAAUCACCUUUUAUUUGAGUAAAGAGGGAAAGUUUUUAGAGAGACCAAGGGGUAUCUACAAAACUAUGAAAUAUGAUGGAAGUUCUUAGGAUUAAGUAGAGGAUUUCUAAAGAAUUUUGUACAUAACUUAUUUGUAAGUAAUAUGGAGUAUCCUAAACUUGUGAGAAAUCAUUAAUAGUUCUAUAGAUGUAGCCAAGGCACCUAGUGCUCGCAAACUUCCCUAGCAUUUUUAUGUAAUGCAAACUUUUAUUCUUCUAAAACUCUAUGUAUCGCCUCUUUUGCUCAUUUUUAGUUUCUAUGUCACAUAAUAUUUAUUGUCAUUGCAAGUUAAGCUUAGGAAAUGUUGAUUUGAUAACUUCAAGCAUCUUAAGUUGUCUAAGUGUAGCGUAGUUGUUAGGAAAUAUCUAAGUUUGUAAUAAGUGGUAUUAGAACAUAGUUGCAAGGAGGGCAUUGCAACAAAGGAAGAAUGUCAAACUCUAACAUUAACAAAAUGACUAAUGAUCAAUAAGCUUGUGAGAAGGAGACCAAUCUUAUCACACAUGGAGGAAGGAAUGAUAAGUCUCUUGACGUUGUUACAAACAUCAAAUCAAGGCUAGCCAAGGUGGAGCAAGCCACAACUUGAUGGAGCAAAGGAUAGAAAAGUGUCUAAUGGAUCUAAGGGAAUAGAUCCAAAAGCUCAUAGAUGGAGUGCUACAUUCACAAGUUCAACUAGUUCACAUGGGAAACUUAUGUCCUUCCAAGCUAAUGUAAUGAACAUGCUUUCAAGCCUAGAGUCAAAAGGAUGUGGCAACAUGUAUAUAGAUGUGUGAUGUGGAGAAUUCUCAUGAGAUGAUCGCCUAGAAGACUAUAGUUUUUGCCUAUGCAGUGGCCACUCAUGAGACACUUAAGGUGGAAGUGUCAAAACUAAAUGCCUUUAAUGGCAAGUGGGAUAUUAAAGAGCUAGACAACUUUUUGUGGCAUAUGAAGUGGUAUUUUGAGGUAAUAGUACUGAAUGACAAUAUUUGUUAGAAUUCUAGUUAUACUAAUCUAAGACAAUCACCUGAGAGGGAGGUGAAUGGGGUGAAUGUUCCUUUUUACAAAAUCAAACUUAGAAUUCAAGUGGCAAUUUUAUAUAAUAAUAAAACAACUAUAAUAUGUCUUAGGUAAAGAAAGCAUAUAAAACAAUUGUCACUCAAGGUUUCAUAGUGAUUCAAUGUAACUCGACCUAUAUCCACUCAUCUCAAACUCUUAAUCAAGUGAGAGUUCCACUAACAAAGCUUUCAAACUCAAGCAUUCUGAUUGAAACCAAAAUAUGUGUUCUAAUAGCAUAUAUAUAAUAUGAUUUAUGCAAUAUAAAAAACUCAAAUCAUCUAACUUAAUUUUGAUCAAUUAUAAAACCCUAGUUAUGGAUUUAACUUUUUGAACCUAAUUCCAAUUUUAAGAGAUUAAAAAAAAUUAUAAGUGCAAAAGUCAUUAUCAACCAAGGAAAUAAAAGGGGUUAAACAUGCAUAAUUAAGAGACUUGAGACUUAUGAACCAUGAAGAGUCCAAGUAAGGGUGUGAUGAGUAACUCAUAGGCAUGAAAUACUAGCAAUGGAUGUUGAGUGAAAUAUAGGGCAAGCAACCAUAAUGGAAAAGGUUUGAAGGAAAUGUAAUCAAGUUCACAUGGAAAUUUGGAACUUAAAAUCUAGCAAUAGUAUAUACUUUGACUUUUAAGGUAAAAUUUAGAGCACUUCCCAUGGUCAAUUUUGGGUAAGUUAUAUAUCGUUUCAAAGUUCGGGAAGUCAAAAGUCUAACACUUUAAAUAAUGUAUAAAUUGGAACUAAAACGAAUAAGUUACGGUCGUUUGAAAACAAUUACACAGAGCUAAAUGACCAUUUUGAAAUUCAACUUAUAUAUAAAUUCGAAAUCCAUUUCAAAAUUACCUUAAUUUUGAAAUAACAUACUAUGACAUUGAUAUUUCACCUCCUCUACUUUAGGAAUUGCAUAUUGGGCACUCCAUCUGCCUUAAGUGGGCCUCAUACAACUAGACAUCGUGAUUUUAUUUUUUAUUUUUAGUCAUUUUUAGGUAAUUUAUUUUUAAAAUAAGUGAUCAAUAGGAACAUGUCAUGUGUUAGGUUUUUUUGUGGAAACUAUAAAAACUCAAUUUUUAGGUUUUCUAAAGAGUUUUGAUUGUUUUUAGAUUGGAGAGAAGAAGAUGAAGUUAGGAUAUUGGUUUGUUCUCUUUUUCAUUAUUAUUAAUUAAUAUAUUAUUUUUUAUUUCCGUAAUGUUCAAGAAUGGUUCUUUAUCUUUUUUUAAUGGAUUGUGCUUGUGAAAACACACCCAUGAGAGAUUAAAGAGUUUUCUUAGGGUGUCAAGCAUGAAAACCUAGGGUUAAAGUUUAUAAGGAAACAAUGGGAAAUUGAACUCAAUAAUGGAAUGAAUGAUUGGUUAAAGGUAUAAUUAAUGAGAAUUGAGAUGCUUUCCAAGAUUGGUUUGAAUUAGGGGGUGGUUGUAAUGAUCUGCAUCCAAUCGUGUUGAUAUUAUUCGUUUUUUAUCCAAAGGGAUCCCCACAACUUUAAAACGUAUUUGGGAGUUUAGAAAUGGUUAUUCAGAAUGUGAGUCUAGUAUUUAUAUUUUAAUUAUUAAUUAAUUAUUUAAUUUAUUUGUAUUUUUAAUUUUUAAUUAUUUAUGUACUUAUUUUAAGCCCAAGCCCAUAAUCAAAUAUUAAAAUCUUUUGGGCUUAGGUUGGUGCUACCAUUAUUUAAUCGACUCAACCAGUUGAGGUUUAGCCUCGAUCUAUUGAGGCUUAGCCUAAAUUGAUCGAAGCUUAACCUAAACUAAUUGAAAUAAGGUUCUACCAAUUUUAGGCAUUUUUACUCCCUUAAUCAAUUGAGCCUAAUCAACUCAACUAUUUCCCUUGUACCUUAAUCGGUUACUUUGAAAACAUAUAUUUAAGAUCAAAUCAAGGUUGAGAAACCUCAACUAGUAGUUCCUCAAUGUUUAAAAAACUUUUAAAAAUAUUUUAACUAUAUUAAAAGUUAGGGUUUUUUCUCAAAUCAAAAUUUUUUUAAUCCAAUUUAUAAAAGAAUUCAAAACAAUUUAAUACUUGGAUAAUUUUAGUUGUUUAAGUAAAAAUGAAGUGUAUGACCUUAGUGCACCAACAACCUUAUAAAGAAAUCCCAAAGAAAUGGUCUUGAAUUGAUCUUCUCUUUGAGGUUUUCUCAUUCUUCUUAAUUUUCUUUCAACUUAAUUUAUCUUUGUGAUUAUCACUUUGAAAUCUUCUUGUCUAAGUACACUUAGAAUAAAUCAUUAAUUUCAAACCUUAUUUUAUCAUUAUCAAAACCAAGAUUAACCAAACCCUAGUUUCACAAGACUACCAAAAUUCAUAUUAUAGUUCUCUAACUCCUUGAUAUUGCUACUCUAUGGUAGCACUAAAGGUUUGUCAAUGUAGACCUAUAUUAAGACUUGUCUUGUGUGCCAAUAAGAUUAGGUGGAACAACAAUUACCUAGAAGACUAUUAGAUCCACGCCCAAGUGACCAUGGGAAAGCUUCACCUUGGAUUUUUUUAUUGAGUUGCCUAAGUCAAAAUGCUAUGACUCAAUCAUUGUGGUGGUGGAUUGGUGCUCUAAGUAUGUAACAUUCAUAGUAAACCCUAUAAAUUGCAAUGUGGAGAAGAAAACAAAGUUGUUCCUUCAAUGUGGAAAAGUAUUAUGGGUUGUCAAGGUACAUUAUCAAUGUCCAUGACUUGUGCUUCCCUAGAAAGUUUUGGAUGAAGCUCUUCAAGACGAUAAGGUUAGAGUUUCACUAUUUUACUAGUUUUCAUCCAUAGAUAGAUGGAAAAACAGAGAGGGCGAAUGCCUUAAAAGAGCUGCACUUAAGGCACUUUAUGAGUGCCAAACACAGAGAUUGAACUAAGUUUCUAAAUGUAGGACAAUUCUCUUACAACCUACAAAGGAAUGAAGUGAAAAAUAGGAGCUCAUUUGAGUUGGCUACAAGACAACAACCAUUAACUCCUCACACCUUGAGGACAAGCUACGUUGAGAAGAGUUUGACAAAUUUCAAAUAGCUAAGGGAUGACAAGCACGGGUGGUCAUAGCCUACUCAUAUAAUGCCACUAAAAAGAUGAAAAAAUUGGUUGACAAGAAGAGGUGACACACUAAAUAUCAUAUUCGAGACCAAAGUAUUCUCUUUCAGCUCAUCUCAACAUAAUAAGCAAAGUUCAAGGAAGGUUGAUUUAACAACUUCAAACAUCUUGAGUUGUCUAAGCUUUGUACAAUUGCUUAAGAGACAACCAAGUUUGUGACAUCAAGCUCUCCUUCACCAUAAAAUAAAACAAUAUUAAUUUUUAUUUUUUUUUAAAAAAAAAACUAGUGUAAAAUUCUUUGAAAUUUCUUACAAAAUCAGGUUUUCUAAAGCAUUUUUUUAACAUAAUUAAUUUUUAUUAAAUAAUUUGUGUAAUAGGUAACAAUCUUUUAGGAAAUCAUGCUCCAAUUUGACAUAUCAUGUUGGCAUAGAAUAUAGGAAGUUGAUUAAAAUUAAGAAAUUUGUGACCAACUAAGGAUACAUUUCGCACCCAUAAAGUUUAAAGGAAAGAUGAUAGAAAGAAACAUUACCAUAGAAAAUACACUUUCUUAAGCUUUCAUUAUUUGAGGAAAAUGAAGAGAAGAAAAACCUUUCAUCAUUUUCCUUUCCCUUUUCCUUUUUUCUUUAUAUUCUUUAAUGACAUUUAAAUAUUUUAAAAAAAAAAACUUAAUAUUUUUUUCUCUUCUUUUAAAUUUUUUUCAAAAACCAAACAUAACUUAAGGUGAUCCACUAACGACUAACUAAUUGACUCGUACAUUAAAUUACAUGUACAAGUCAAAGACUCAUACCCAUGCAAAUUAAUUUUCUUGGCCCAUCAAGUUAAUUAGUGUUAGGAAUUUAACAAUAAUAAUAAUAAUAAUAAUAAUAAUAAAAGCUAUUAGAGCAAAACCAUUUUUUGCAAUUAGUAGUAUUUUAUAAAAUAUUUUGAUAAUAAUAAUCAGCAACCAUGCCCAUCGUUUUCNNNNNNNNNNNNNNNNNNNNNNNNNNNNNNNNNNNNNNNNNNNNNNNNNNNNNNNNNNNNNNNNNNNNNNNNNNNNNNNNNNNNNNNNNNNNNNNNNNNNUCAAGGAAGGUUGAUUUAACAACUUCAAACAUCUUGAGUUGUCUAAGCUUUGUACAAUUGCUUAAGAGACAACCAAGUUGGUGACACCAAGCUCUCCUUCACCAUAAAAUAAAACAAUAUUAUUAUUUUUUUUUUUUAAAAAAAAAACUAGUUUAAAAUGCUUUGAAAUUUCUUACAAAAUUAGGUUUUCUAAAGCAUUUUUUUAACAUAAUUAAUUUUUAUUAAAUAAUUUGUGUAAUAGGUAACAAUCUUUUAGGAAAUCAUGCUCCAAUUUGACAUAUCAUGUUGGCAUAGAAUAUAGGAAGUUGAUUAAAAUUAAGAAAUUUGUGACCAACUAAGGAUACAUUUCGUACCCAUAAAGUUUAAAGGAAAGAUGAUAGAAAGAAACAUUACCAUAGAAAAUUGAGGAAAAGAAAACUAAAUUAUUAGAAAAUACACUUUCUUAAGCUUUCAUUAUUUGAGGAAAAUGAAGAGAAGAAAAACCUUUCAUCAUUUUCCUUUCCCUUUUCCAUUUUUCUUUAUAUUCUUUAAUGACAUUUAAAUAUUUAAAAAAAAAAACUUAAUAUUUUUUUCUCUUCUUUUAAAAUUUUUUUCAAAAACCAAACAUAACUUAAGGUGAUCCACUAACGACUAACUAAUUGACUCGUACAUUAAAUUACAUGUACAAGUCAAAGACUCAUACCCAUGCAAAUUAAUUUUCUUGGCCCAUCAAGUUAAUUAGUGUUAGGAAUUUAACAAUAAUAAUAAUAAUAAAAGCUAUUAGAGCAAAACCAUUUUUUGCAAUUAGUAGUAUUUUAUAAAAUAUUUUGAUAAUAAUAAUCAGCAACCAUGCCCAUCGUUUUCAAAUUUAAACCUGAUCUGGGCAGGUUUAGAAUAAUUUCAACUGAUGAAAUCUCAAAAUCCAUGCAUAUAUAAAUUGAGAGAACCUGAUCUUUCAACAAGACAACACCACAAAAUGAUCACUACUGAAAUUAUAUAUAAUUUUUUUAUUUUUUUGAAAUUUAAUUGUCAUAAGAGGCAGGCCUCGUACUAAAAACUUCAUAAACAAGUACCAGAAAAUCUCCCAAAUGGUACCAUAUAAUCAGUGUAUUCUUACCUUCAUCAAUAUCCUUUUGAGACUGGUCCAAGGUUUUUAGCACAGUAAUGCAGCCCAGAGUUAGUAUUUCUGGAUAACGACUGAGUUGGCGAGGCCGGCCUGCUCUAUUGUCUGCAUUGGAUCGUUGAGUUGCUUGGGAGGGAAUCCCAUCAUCUGCAGCUGGUAAUUUGUGGAACCACCAGGCCUAGAUGCUUCGAUGAAGGCACGGAUGUCGGUGAUGGUAUGGUGGUAGUUGAAGUGAGCAAUCAUGCGGGUUCCAUCAGACAACCUGAGCUGGAUCGAGGUUGAUGGCAAUGCUUCAUCCACGAUCAGUCCCAUGUUAGGAGAUGGAGCGGUAUUGAGAGGAGUGGGAGCAACAGUGGGCUCGGGUUCUGGAGCUGCACUGCUGCUUCCUAAAGUUCGUCCCACCCCCUGAAAUGGAACCCGGGUCUUUUCUGAUUCCUGCAAGAAACUGAAAUAUUAGAAAAAGGAUAUGUGAUACAGGCUGUUGGUAGAAUUCAAAUCAUCUACAAGAUGGUAGAUUCCGACAGGUUUAGAACACAUUGAAAAGUACUCAAAUGAGUUCUAAGGAUAUAAACUAGUUUCAUAUAAAAUAGAAUUUCACUGUAAUAACCUUACUAGGUAUACAGGUAAAUUUUCUGACCGCUAUGGGUAGUGACAAACGAUCAUGGACAUGAGAAAUGCAACAAGUCAAUAUAUAAAAAUAGAGGACUCACGGGGCAGUUCUCAUCCCUCCUUAUGAGGUUGACAUGAACAGAGGACCUCCUAUCUGCAGGCUCAAGCUCUUUUGGACACUCCGACUUUCUGAUGCUCUGCAUUUAGAUGUAACAAACUAUUAAGAUCAACACCAAGCCAUAAUGCCUGAGUUAGUUUAGUUGUUGCAGAAAGUUGGAAUGAAAAUGAAGGGAAAAAUAUAUAUGUGCAGGAACUUAAGGUGUAUCUAGCAAAUGAAGGCUAAUAAAAGAUUUUUAAAACAAAUUAUGGUAUAACAUGGAAGGAGAAAUGAAAUGCAGCAUUUAUUUCAUACUCUACAUUUUACAAUACAAAGCACAAGGACAAAACCCUGUCAUUCUGCUCUGUUGCAGCACCUUGUUUGGUGCUUCUGAUUUUCAUCUUUUUAUCAGCAUUUUCCUUUACCUUUUUCAGGGAUGGAAUUGAAUUACCAUUACCUCUAGGAAAGAUGCAUUUUCAGGAUCAUCUAACCUCCUCAAGGGACCAUCAUUCACUGUGAAGCCAUUACUCCAAAAGACAAUGUUGUGAAUAACAGUCUCAGGCUGUUGAGGAGCAGUUGGUACUAAUUCCCCAGAAAGUAAUCUUCCAGUCCCAGUAAAGCUUCUUGAGCUUGAUGAAGGAUUUAUCAUGGGGCCUUCCACUGCUCCCAAUUGCCUAGCUUGAUUGAAAAUUGCAUCCACAUCAUUACCCUUUGAAGGGUCUUGGACAAGCAUCCCACUGCAGACGUUAUUAUUACCAAUGUUAGUCAAUCAUCAUGCAUAUGUUAAAAUAAUAUUAACAUUUGAUUAAUAAGAGCUGAAAUGUAAAGAUGACAUACGUUAGUACAUAUAAUGAAAAAAUUAAGGACAGAGAUCCCUAAUUCAAUAAGCUGUGGGACUAUUUAACUCAGCUUAGCAAGAAAUGUAAAUAAUAAUGAGGCCAACAUAUAAUCUAAUACCCUUGUUACAUGUAGAAAUUUGGGCAUUCCUAUAAGAAACACCUCUCUAGAUUGAUGUAUAUAGAGAAAGAGUGCUGUCUUCAAUGCUCUUGUGUGUAUUAGCCAUACUUAAGCUUCUUACAAUGAAAACUGAUUUUAAAGUACAGUUUCAUAGAAUUUGGAAAACAAAAAGGAAAAUACAGAAAUUUUAAGUGGCAGCGGCUUCUUGCACCAAGAAGACAGAGAGAAUGGAGCAUGCCUCAAUCAAUGUUUAUUCAAGGAUUUCAACUUGCACUUCAUCAGUCUAAGAAUAACUCGUAAAAGGGAACCGUGGUGACAAAUAGACUAUCUGAUGUAUGCAUACUUGACUCACGACAUGUAACGGAUACCAAAUAGCAGAAUUACUAGUUCAUGGUCUGAGCUCAUUACUGGCUCACCUUGACUAACGAUUUGUGGACCAAUAGAAUGUGUGUCAAUUAGGAUCAACAAGUUAGUGCCAACUCCGAGUGAAAUCAUUUGGGGUGUUUUGAAAUAAUAGUUAAAAUUAUGCAGAAACUAGAGUUCCAAUCCCAAGGGAAGGUUUUGUUACUUCUAAUUUCUUUAUACAAGUAAAAGCAGGAGAAGCUAUUGCAAAAAAAUAACCGGUUAGGAAUUCCACAAAGCUGCAUAAAAUAUCCAAGACAAGGUUGCAAUAAAGUUUAGAACAUUAAAAUCUAUCCAGAAGAAAGAAUUAUUGACCAACCAGAAUGCAUAAAAAUAUUAGAGCUGCCAUAUCAGCAAAACUUUCAUUUUACCUCUAAUUUCUUCAUUGAAAUAGAAGGAAGAUAAAGUAAAUACACAACUUGUUAGAAUUCCAAAAAGCUGCACAAAAUAUCCAAAAUAAGUAUGAAAUGCAGUUUCAACCACUAGAAAUCUCCCCAGAAAAGACAAUUGUGAACCAACAGAAUGCAUGGAAGGUACAGUUCACAAAGGUACAAUUAUCUCCCUACCCCUUGGAACCUAGGGGCAUGAUGCAAUCCAAGGCGCAUGCUUGCAUGAAGUGAGGCACAAGCUAGGGUACAUGCGCAAUUUCAUAAAAUACUGUAAAUUUGGCUCUAGUGAGCUUAAAUAGAAGAAAUAAAAACAUAGACAAGGUGUGCUUCCUCAAUAAGGCAUGCCCUUUGCCAGGAGAAGCACCACAGUAGGGCAAUUAGUGGGCCUUGGGCCUAGGUGUGCCUUUAACAACUAUCUUACUAUACAAGAUAUUUGCACCCUUAAUUUCACUCCCAUAAAAUUCAUGAUUGUCAUUCUUCAUGCAACAGUCCAACCACCAGCUACAUCAUUUAAACCAUUACACUUCCAUGUAUUCUUGACUAGCUCCAACAACCAUUUGUUGAUGUUUCCCCUUUCUUUCACUAUUCUCAACAUGUUUUAACUAGGAGGCAGAUGACCACCAAUUAAAUUCUUAGCAGCAGCACACCGUCUGAAUAAAACAUCCAAGCAGUCUCACCAUGUAACUUUCCUCAACUCCAAGGUAAAAUGCAUUCUUUAAGUCUAUAUCUCCCUCGACCUUUCUUUUUCUAGGUUCAAAGCCUCCUGCCUGACUGACCUAGGUCUACUGUUCCCAUGCCCAAUCUUUGAUUCAAAGGUAUGGGUGGUUGGCAAAAAGCAAGAGAUGGAAAAGGUACUCAUUUUGGCAUAGCAUUUUGACCUCAAUUCUGCUUUUUCCACUAUAUUUUGCAUUUCAAAAACAUGUUGGGAUGUCAUUUGGCCAUAUCCUCUAACCCCUUGUUGGGAUUCUUAAUGAAUGCAACUUAACUCCAGAAUACGAUCCCUUGUAAAUCACCUGACAGAAAUCACAUAAAACAGACAGUUUCCUCCCCCCUUCCCCAGUUUUAUCUCAUCCGUAACAUACUUCCAAAGUAGGUACAAUCACUUUGUCCAUUGGAAUCCUAACACAACCAGUGAAACCCAAAAUUUUGGAAUUCAAUCCCUAUGGAAUAAGAAUUUAGCAAAAGAUUUAACAGGAUGAGUGGCAAAUCAAAUAUAUACAAUGAAAUUCUGAUUUUACACUACAGUUCUUUUUCCUUUUUUGGCUGGAAGAUGGAGAGACCUGAACCUGUAUUAAAUCCUAAUUGAAAAGGCAAGAUAACGAAUAGAUAUUAACACACAAGAAGCAAGGUGCAUAAGAGAUAAAAACAUGAACUAAUCCCCAAAAGCCCUAGCAACCAAUGCAUAAAAACAUCAACCAAACCAACACCCCCCAACCCCCAACACAAGGGCAUUAGUUUUUCCCCUAAUCAAUAAGGGGGGGAGGGAAGGGUGUGUGUCUCUCUCUCCCCCUUUCUUUUCCUCCACCGAAAAGAGAAAAAGAAAAAGGGAAAAGAACUCUUUCGAAGCAUACAUUGAACAUGUAGCAUUACCAGACUUCUUCUCAACCCUGGCACUUCAAAAUGAUAGCAAAACUUCAGUCCACUCUAAUUGAGAAGCUGGUUGAAGUCAUAAUACCAGUCUCAUGGAACUUGAGCAUACAAAUCAUGUCAACAAAGAUAAAUCUAAAUUCAGCAAAAAAGGCUUCAGGACCAAUCACCAAAGUUCAAUAAAACUAAUUUGAUCAUCAGUCAUCAAGAUUUCACAAGUUUUCAAGUUAAAAAUUUCCCCAUCAAUUACAGAUCCAACAAAAGUGCUUUGCAUUACUACACUCCAACAUAUGCUUUCACGAGGAGCUUAUGCAAGGGUAACAAUAUCCAACAGCCAUAAACUUAUAAACAACCAAAACUUUAAUUUUAGGUCCAUGGAGAAUCACAAUUCAAAAUUUCAAUACAAUCAACCUUCUGUGAACUGUUAGAUAUGACCAAUGCAACAAAACAUAGGAAAAAGUCCAUGUCAUCAAUUGUAUAUUAAAUCUACAGUAAUUCUGUUGGGGAAAGCACAAGUGAUUAUGGAUUAUACACAAUUUGGGUGGAAAAGCAAUCCAAAACGAAGUUACCAUCCUGAUUGUGCUUAGAGAUGAGUGAAUGAAAUACUCUUCAAUCUUUACCAUAAGAAUUAAUUCAAUUUGGAAAGAAAAGUUAAUGGGUGAUCGCCAAAAGAAGCACCUUGCAAUCAAACCCCCAGGAUUUAGAACCACAACCUAAACCUUUUUUUCUCUAAAAUCUCAAUCCCAAGGUCAAAAAAUUCGGGCCUUUUUCUUCUUCAUGCACCACCGUUUGGUUGCUGAGAAAACAAGUAUCCCCAAAAAAGGUAAACAUCAUCUCAACUCAACCAAACAGGCAACCAUGAAAAACCUAACCCACAAUAAAUAAAUAAAUAAAAUUAAUUUUUUUUUUUUCGUUUCCUUCAAUUUCUCAGCCACCAAACAGGAAAACAAAAAAUCCACAUAGAGAGAGGGAAAAAACUAGGGCUAAAAAGAAACCUCUUCUCGCCACCGGUGUAGUACUCCUGAGGGCCAUCGGAGUCGCUGUCGGAGUCCGGAGCAGUCGGACGAUUCAAAUCGGAGAGGGUUCGAAUGCCACGACUACUGGAGGGCUUCGACGAUUUCUUAUCCCGGGAAGCCAUAGAAGACUCAGAGAAGAUAAUAGCGAAGAGUUGUGAUGCGAUCUGGGGUUUAACCUUUAUGCUUCAGACCAUAUUCCAAGCUACCAAAGUUUAUAUAUAUAUAUAUAUAUUUCUUUUUUUCUUUUUUCUUUUUUCUUUUUCUGAUAUUUUCAUUUUUAAACUUUUUAAAAAUAUUUUAGAUGGAAUAGAGAAUAUUUUUGUUCAGAAAAAAAUUAUAUUCCAUGAUUUUAAAAGGAAAAAAAUUUCAAACUCUCAACUUCAUGUUUCACAAGGAAUAAAUUCAUUAAUUUGAAAAAAAUAUAUUUUAAAAAUAAAUUUUUAGAAUUAUUUUUAAAAGAUAUCUUCGUAAAAGUAUAUUGUCAUAUUUGUAAUGGAAAAAUCUUAAAAUAUUUUUUUAUAUUUUCAACUAUGUUUUAAAAAACACAUUUAGAAACGUAUUUUCAAAAAAUUAUUUUUAAUUCAAAACUUAUUAAACAUGUUUUCUAAAUUAAAAAAAUAUUAAGAUACUGAAAUUAUAUUAAUUUGUUAUAAAAACAUUUUUAAAAUGAAAUUUCUAAAUAUAAAUUCAAUUGCAUAAUAAUAAUAAUAAUAAUAAUUCUAUCCAAUCUCUAAACCCAAAGAUUAAUAAUUAAUAUUAACUCAUUUGUUUUUCUUUUUUUUUAAAAAAAAAAUGGGAGAAUCUUAUAAAAUUCUAAAUAUCCUUUUAAUAUUUAAAACAUAAAAGUUAUGAAAGGAAUCAUCAUCCAUGUUCUAACUUCUAACCAAUCAUCAUCAUCCACAUCUAGCCCGUCGUUCUUUUGAUCUAAUCAUCAUCCACAUCUGUUGCUCUCUUCAUCUAAUCAUGGGAUAAUUUAAAUUAUUCUACAAAUAGAAAAUUAAAUAGGCUUUACAAACCAUAUGGGUCACUCUAUUUCAUAAUCAUUUGAUUGUUACACCUCACAAAAAACCCAAGCUUCUCGGCUUUUCUUUUUAGCAUCUUCACUAAGUUGGGAAAAAAAAUUCUUAGAAAGGGAAAGUGGUAAAUGUAUCGAGAAAUUUACAAAUGAUUUUGGUAAUGUUUCUAUAUUAAACAUGUAUUAAAAUAAAAAUAAAAAUUGAAUUUAUAUUAAGGAUAUAUUUAACAAAAUACUUUUUAUGUAAGUAUAAUAAUAAUUAUUAUUAUUAUUUUUAUUAUUAUUUUAAAUGUAGUUACAUUCCACGAUGAAAGUCAUCUGAAAUGUCUUUUAUAUAGAUUUUGAGGUAGGAAAUUGUUUUUUUAAAAGAUAAUUUCAGUAUUUUUUUUAAAAGAAAAAAAUAUAUUUCUAUGAUAAUUUCAUACAAAAUCAAUUUGCACCAAAAUUGUUUUUUGGAAUAAUAAUUUUCCUAGAAAAAGUUAUUUUCUGUAUGUAUAUAUAUAUAUAUAUAUAUAUAAAUUAAAAAAAAAAACAAAGGGUUUAUAUUGAAACUUGUUUUUUAACCUAUAUAAAACACUAUAUGGAAUGUGUCUUUUGUAAUUUUCUAUGUGAAAAACCAUAUGGAAGGUGUUUUUUAAUUACAUUUCAUGUGGAAAAAUGUUCUUUCAUAAUAUUAUAAAUUCAACAUUUUAUUUUAAAGUAUGAUUAAUUUGAAAAUUAUGCAAAUUAUAUCUUAAAUAAACAACUUCCCUCCCUUUCAAAGGUGCCUAGAGGAAAUGCUAAACGUAUCUUGGUGAAUUUUAAUCUCAAUAAGAAUACUAGUUUUUACUGUUCAUAUGUUAUAAUAUGAAUAUACCACAUAAAUUUGUUAUGUAUAUAAUGAGAUUCCAUUGAUAUGGAGGCAAUUCCAAUAGAUUUAUUAGAGGGUCUCAUUGGCAUGCAUCUAGUAGGAAUUGAACCUAGGAAUUCCCCAAUUAUAAGUUGGGCACUUUAAUCAUUCAACCAUGAAUGUACAAUGGGGAUCCUCAUGCAUGGUGAAUAACCAAAAUCCAAUUGAAAUGAAAUCUUUAUGAUAAAUCAAUGUAAUUUAGAAAUAAUCAAUAAAGCAUCAACCUAGGUGGAUUUGCCAUCGGUAGGAGGACAGGAGAUGGUUAUCGUAGGGCACAUUACGACCUAUAGGUAAUAUGGAUCGACAAACUUAAUAGCAUAUAAUAUCCGUAAUAUAUUGAAGAGGUAACUUCCAAUGCAACCAAAAUUACCUCUAAAACUUUUCUUAAAUAUUUUUUUUUUUAAAUUUGCUGAUGUCAAAGAAAACCCAAGCAACUAAAACUCAUAAUUUGUCUCUUCAAAAGCAAGUAAUAUUUUCAAUUUUUUUUUUCAAAUUACCUUUCAAUUUGAAAUUUUUAUUUAUUUUUAUAAUACUCAUGAUUUAUCUCUUGAAAAGCAGCUAAUUUUGUUUUUUUUCAAAAAAAAAUACAAAUCUUAAAAACCAAGGGUAGAUUAGUACGUAAUUAAAUAUUUUUUAACAUACGAAAAAUAUCUUUACUUUUAAUAGAAAUAUUUUGAAAUAUAAUUCCUAGAUUUUAUCACAAAAAUGGUAACUUCUUAAAGUCAAUAAGUAAUAAUUAAUAAUUGAAUUUGGGUUUGACUACAACCUCGAAUUUAAUGAUACUUUUUCAAUAUUUUUAGAUUUCAUUUAAUUUCAUUAAUUGGACCUUUUUAACCAACUAAAUCUCACAAUACGCCGGAACCUUAAUAAUUUAUUGGAUUAAAGACAGUGGAGAGUGAGUCACCGGAAGUCCCACAGUAAACUUCCCUAUGGCGUAAAGCCAUAUACCAGAAGCUCCGACCCUACCACUCCACUCUCCACCCACUAAUGGACGGUCCAAUCCAACCCAACCGAGGCUCAGGCACCGGCGACAAGCGUCUAAAGUACGCCUUUGACGCCGGCUUCUUAUCGGGCGCCCACCCUCCCGACACGCCCGUCACCGUCGACAGUGACAACAGAGACUCCACAAUUCCCCUCGGUUCCACUUCGGAGAGCUGCGACUCCGCCGACGAAUCGAAGCGGCUGGCGGAUCUAGCCGCGAGCUUCCGAGUUUUCUCGGAGUCGCUGGCGAGGAUGGAGCUGGCGGAGAUGGAGAUGCUCAAGGCGAGGGAGGCGUUCCGGCUCGAAGCGGAGAAGCGGCGGCUGGAAUCCGAGGCGGAGAUGACUCAGAUGCUGUUGCAGACUCAGCUGCAGAUCGCAUCGCUCGUCUCACGGAGUCCGAGCCGGAAACGAAAGCGUGGAGAAGAAGAUGAUCCAUCGAUCUCCGAAAGGUAAGCUCCCGAAUGCCGCUCUGUCUAGAAAGUGGUUGAGCCCGUAACUCGGCCGAGUCACUAACUAUUUUUCAUUAACUGAGUCAAAUGCAGGGAAGGAGGUCUGCUCCUGAGUUUACUGCAGUGCAACUUGCUCCUCUGAUCUCUUGAGGUUCGAAACAUUUAAGUUCAAACUAUGAAAUGUACCUAUAUUUUGAACACUUAGCCUACAAUGGCAGUCCAAUUAUUAUCAGAUAUGAUCUCAAACACAUUUCAACUAACUUCUCAAUAUCAAUUUCUUUUUCAGUCGCUUGUAUGAAUUUAUCUAUAGACCAAUGGAAAACCAAACCUAUCAUGUUUGGUUGUUAUUAUAUGAAUCCAACUACACACCCACCUGGCCUCUGAUGUACCAUAUUCAGCUGAAGGCUAACUGGGGCUGCGUCUGAUUACGGUUAGAUUUUUCGGUUUUCUGGUCUGCAAUGCUGAGUAGAGUAUUCGCCCGGGUUUUAGCACUUUCAAUGUACACUUGAAUGGGGGGUAGAAUCACUUGGUCUCCAUCCUUUGGGGCUUGGCCUCGAAUCACCUAUUGGAUUGAUCAACUAGGGUUUAUUACCAAUACUACGGCAUGAAGAAAGCAAAGAUCAAAGAGAUAGCCAUUACUCAUUACCUUCGAUGCCCAAUGCCGCUCUGCUUGUUGACAGAUGUCCCUGAUAUCCCUUCCAGACAUGCUGGAUACAAUACAUGACGAUAGUAGGGUAAGAAAUUCGCCCAUCCCAAUUAAAGUAAUAGUCUAGCAUAAUAAAUUUGCAUAUGAGAAAAAAAUGAUGGGUUAGGAAUGGAACGGUGAAUUCUAUUCAUUCAAGCAGUUCCGGUUUUUGAGUAAGGGAUUUAGGUGGCCUCAUCUAUUGUUGUGGAACUUACCCUUCUGUUGCUGUGGCAAAUUCAACUAAUUCGGACUCUGUCAGAUGCUUUGCAAACUGAGCUGCUAUUUUCUGACGAUCAUGGUUGUCAGGUAGGCCAAAGGUGAUCAUCGAAUCAAACCGACUGAAUGAAAACACAUCAAACAUGUUAGAGAACACCCCACCAGCAUACAACUCUUGUAAACAUGUUCAACUAUAUACCUCAUCAGAGCAGGAUCAAGGUCUUGCUUUCUAUUUGUUGCUGCAAUUACCACCACUUUUUUAUCCUGCUCAAAUCCAUCAAUCUUCGCCAAAAAAAAAAAGGAGUUUUAUUUAAGGCGCUACAAUAGCUAGAUCAACCUUAAAAAAGAAAUUAAUCCCUAAUUUUACAUGAGAGUCGGGUACACAAGGAAAUGCAUAGCUACAAAAACUGGAUGAAUGGUCUGCAAAAACUUUGCAGAAUAUGGCUACAAAAAAUCCCAGUUCUCUUUGUACCGCUGAGAGCUUGGAAUUGUGCACAAGAAGUGCUCACAGGUAAGGAAAUCUAAGAUGCAGUCUCCAGCAUUUGAGGUAAAUAACUGGGAACAACCAGCCAACAUGUGUGCAUCUGUUCUGUAUAAAGGUCUACUGAAUGCUUUCCAGUACAAAUUGGAAAUCAAACAUAAAGGAUAUUUCGAUGACAGGGGGAAGUACUAGACAAAUACAUAUUGAACCGUAAUAACACUUUUCCUAUGGCGUUUCAAAUAAUUAUUUGGAAGCCCCCAAGGCCUGGCUCAAGUGGUAACCGGGUUGGGAUGGCCAUGAAAAGGUUCAGGUUCCAUUCCAUGAGCCUAAAAAAGUGAUCAUAAAAACUGUAUAUACAAGUACAAUUCACCUGUCGCAAUAUCACUGAUAAAAUUCUUCGGGUAGCCUCAUGCAUUUCUCGACUACGAGAAACAGCAAAAGAAUCAACCUGUAGAAGUUUUAAGCGGGAGUCAAGAUUACUGAGAAAGUUCAAUUGAUGUGACUGCAUGUAGAAUGUAAGACGAGCGCUUGCACUAUUAUGAAAAAUCUUUCAGAAAAGAAAUGGCUUAAAGGUAAAUAGAUGUUUCUUCAAUACAUUUUGGAAAACACCUCUGGGAAGGAAUUAGUUGCAUCAAUUACCUCAUCUAGAAAAACAAUGGCACCUUCUGGGAACUCAUUGGCAUGCACAAACACUUUCCCUAGCAAGCGCUCACUUUCACCAUAGUACUUUGACAUAAUAGACUCCAGUGGCAGGUAAACCAAUGGCACACCCUGCCAUGUAAUAGCACAUAUUAAUUAUUUUAGUCAACCACACAUACUAAUAAUCUUAUAGAGAUGCAGAAAAUACACAAACAAAGAAAUUUAUUUUAUUUGGAAGCUAAAGAUUUUAAGGGAGCACAAUACUUUUUUCUGCAUAAAUCCACACAUCAACAAAUACAGCAAGCAUUCCCACAAUGCAAUGUUAGCCUUAUUUGCAGUUGCAGAACAAAAGCACAGAUGCUGCUUGCUGCAUAUUCAGGGGACUCAUUGCAGGUUCAACAAUAGCAUGCAUUGUUCUUGUGUUCCCUUUUUUUUUUCCUUGUUUUUCCUUUUUUAAAGGCAAGUGUCAGUAGUGAUGUCUUCUUCAGAUUAUGAAAAUGCACCAAAAAUAUAUGACCAGGCAGGAAUAUGUAAAUAGGACCCAAAAGGUAACCACUAAGAUCGUUGAAAAGGUUCCCUAGGCAAAACCCCAGCAGAGGAACAAAAGAUCUCAGAUAAGGGCAUGUAAAAAGCAGUUCCCAGAGGGAGAUCAUGGCAUCUGGCAAUUGUAUGCCUGUAAAAAAAGAAAGGCAUCCGGCCAUUGUAUAAAAAUCCCAAAUUUACCAAGCUAAUCAAUAAAUGAUGCUACCAUCAAGUUGAAGAUUUUUCUAACUAGUAACUUAGGACAACAGUUAUAAAAAAUUAAUAGAUCAAAAACUAUAUUCAGUCAAAUGAUAAGAAUUUGAACAAAGAAAAUUACAAAACCUUCAGACCCAAGCAAGAAUUUAAAUUUUCAAUCCUAUUUCCAUAACAAGGUUCAUCAUAAAAUAGCAGUCAAACAUAGAAAGUGUAUAUACGUGGCAUUUGAUAAAGAUAAAAAAAUAUAUAUAUAAAGGUUCAGUAUGAAACAAAUAAAACAACUAAUGAGGUUGUCAUUUAAGUGCACAGUAGCUUACUGCUUGAUUAGCAAUUACACGAGCACAAGACGUCUUCCCUGUACCUGAAGGCAAACAUAUACUAUGAGUAAGCUUAUGCAACCUCUCAGACAAACUGAACUCCGGGCCAAAAACUAGAAGCAUUGACUCCAUUUUCACUCCAGUUGAAUUCCAAAUGCAUGAAAGACAGUUCCAAAACAACAGUAUGCAAUGCUUACAGAAUCAUAUGAUCAACAUCAUUGCAUCAUGUUAAGCCUCACCAUACAAAAACCAACAAAAGUCUGAAUUACCUUGAGGUUUUUAUGCAGAAUGAAAGGCAAGCUACAGUUUGCAGUUAAAGUUUGCCCUUGUUGCUUUUAUUCAAGUUCCAUAGUUCCCAAUACUAAUAUGAAGGGCAAACAAACAAUUAUCUUCACUAAUAAUAAUAUUAAGCGAUGAACAUUCUGAUAUGGAUAUAUCAUAAUAGUGAGAAUAAUUUACCAAAAAGUCAAGCAACAAAAACAAUCAGUUUAGUGUAACAGGAGCACAUGAAAGGCAAGGCCAUUCAAAAAACCAAAUAAUACAGAAGCACUAAAUUAUAUCCUUCCUCCUAACUGAAUCUUGUGCAUGAGGCUGGGUUCUUCUUCAAUCCAAAGAUUGCUAGACUGAGGCCAGAACUAAGCCAAUUUGUCAAUCCCUUGUUUUAAGUGUGUACCAGCCAUGGGCUACGUCCUGUCAUCAUCUUCUGCUUGGUGGUUGCAGAAAUCUAACCUCAAGACAAAGUGGUUCUUACUAUAUUCAAAUUNNNNNNNNNNNNNNNNNNNNNNNNNNNNNNNNNNNNNNNNNNNNNNNNNNNNNNNNNNNNNNNNNNNNNNNNNNNNNNNNNNNNNNNNNNNNNNNNNNNNGUUCAAAGUUUUUUCAAAAUAAAUUCUCAAGCUGUCAUCAGACUCAUCAGUCAUCACAACCAGAUGUCACAGCAAUCAAUAACCAUGGAUACCCUUUUUAAACUAAGGUUUAUAUCUGUAGUUCAUGUGAUUCAGGUUAUUGAAAAGCAAACCCCUUUUCAGUAUUAUACAUUUAUUUCUUUAGCAAAAGACAAUGGUACCGAAAUUGAUACCAAAGCAAACAUGUAAUCUAGACCAUUUAAGUACACCAUGAAAUCUUAAUCAUUAAAGGAUAAUACAAAAAAUAAGAUUAAAAUAAAAAAAUUAAAUCAACUAUGAAAAAAAUAAGAUUUAGGUAUUAAAUAAAGAAAUCCAUUCAUAUACACGACAAUUUGUGAUCAAUCGAUUAUCUUUUCAACAUAAUUUAUGAUUAAUCAAUUAUCUUUUCCACGUUUAGGAAUGACUUGUUUGUUUAUUUAUACCUUGCACAUUCCUAUUAUGGGUGUGGAAACAUAAUUAUCUUUGGACACUUCCUUAAUCCCACACAUACCCACAAACCACCACCUUUUUUUCUCUCCUCUCUCGGCACUUCAACGAGAGGGAAGGUUAGAUGCUUGGUCCUAAUCAACAUAGAGUGCUCAUUAGUUAUAAUGCACUCUGAUGGCAUUAUUUUUUCAUACCUUAGCUAUUGUCUCUUAUGUCAAAAAGCAAUGCUAAAUUUAUCCAAGCUGCUUUUUCUAUGUAUGGGCUUCCUUUUCCACAGACUAACCAUCGGAUAUUUGGCCAGUAAUAGCAUUGAAGAAAAAAAAAAAAGCCAACUUUUUUUUUGAAAGACGAUUUAGUUUCAAAAUGUUCCAAGCAACCUGUAUCUUUAAGAGACUAUUUUAAUAUAAGAUAAAUGAUUUUUAUUAAGUUCUUAUAGUGCAAAGAUUGAAACUGUUUUUUACAACUUUUUUUUUGAACCCCUCAAAUAUCCCUAGACGACCAAUAUGAUUGUGGUUUAAUAUUUUUAGAUCUGAAUUCUAAAGAAUUAAUCAAUCAAAUCCUCAUGAAUGAUGCAAAUUCAUAUUACAUUUGAAGCCUGUCACCCCCCUUUACACUUUACUUCAAACGUCAUCUAAAUUCUAAAGAUGAAGAAGAAACAAGAUAUGAUUUAAUGUGGGCUCACAUGCAUGCAAGGAAUCCAAUGAUGGAUUUCAGCCAGAAAAAAAAAAAGGGGGGGAGAUCUAGCUCAGGACACAUUGAAUGAGUUUCCGGGUCUAGACAUCCACAUGUUGAGAAGGCAUGGCUUCAAUUACAGUUGCCCAAAACAUCAAAAUUGCAGAAGUAAAACAAUCUCCCAUAAUGGUAAACAACCAGCAUACUCUUACACCACUGGAUGUUUAGAAUGAUAUUUCAUGUGAUGAUCAUGUUCUAUGAGCAAGUCAGCCUAAAUGGUUAUUCAAUAAUACAUGGAUUAUGGAUGUGGAUGGUUUAAUUAGUCGAUUCGGUUUUGGAUAUUAAAAUCUAAUUGAAUCAAUCUAAUCGGUGUUUAUGCAUUAAGAAUCAAACUAAUUAAACUUAGGGAGGAAAUUUAUCGGUUCCUAAGUCUGUUUACUUCGUUAAUUGAUACUUUUUGUUAAUUUCGACUAGAACCAAAAAACUUAAAUAAUAGUAUUAUAACAAUUUAUCUUAUGAUUUGUUUUUUUAUUACAUUAAUACACCCAUUUCAAAUUAUAUUAUUGUAACCCAAUGUUAUGAAUAGCUAUUGUGAUUUUCUCUCUAUCAACUAUAUAUUAAGCAUGGUUUGGAAUCAUGUGAAAAAUAUGGAAUAAAUUAAUAAUAUGACCGAUAAAAGUUAUAAACCUUUGGUUUUUUAUGUUUAACUUUUGGUUCGGCUUGGUUUCUCAUCAAUUUUUAAAAUAACAAAUGGUGAUUCCUAGAAUCUGCAUCAAGGGUGCUUAUACCUGAUCAUGACUUUGCAGUAUCACACAGAGAUUUGGAUCUGCUGUUCUAAUACAUGGCUGUGAAAGUUUUUCAGUUGCUUCACAUCAACAUACCAGAAGUUACAACCUUACAAAGAAAAAUUGCUACCUUUUUUGAAGAACAUACCAGUUAUGAAUUCCAUUGUGUUAAAACUCACAAAUUUUCUAAAAGACUUAAAAAAUGAUUGGGAAUAAACUGUAGAAGAAGCUAAUAAGUAUAUAAUAUUCUUUUUGGAUGGAAAUGACAUAAGGGUGCAAUAAUACCACUCUUAAACCUAAGGAUGGGUCAUGAUGACUUUUAGAAUAGCUUAUAAGAUAUGAUUUCAAAUAUCAUAAAAGGUUUGACCUAAUUUUACUAACCAUCAAUUACUUUUCAAAUGAGAUAAUCAAAGUUCGAUUCAAUAAUUGGUAUCAGAACUAAGGUUUAUGGGUUCGAGUCAUAGAAAGGAUUAUUAUGAUGCAAAAAUGUUGCUCUUAAACCCGAAAAUGGAUCACCCAAAUAAUGACUUUUAGAAUAAGUUUGUAAAUUGUGAUGUCAAAUGCCAUAAAAGAUUUUGCUCAUCCUCAUCAACUACAAAUUAGUUUUCAAAUGAAAUAUUAAUCAUAAUUCUAAUAUUACUAUAAGUUAUGAAGUUUUAAAACUAUCAGGAUAUGAACUCAGCAGGUGAUAGUUUUAUUAGCUAUAUUGGAAUGUAAAAGGAAUAUGGUUUAAUGUUAUAAAUAGAUAAACAUUGAUGGACUUUGUCCUGGAAGAGAUGAAGGUCCAAGGUUUAUGAAUUUCAUACUUGUUAAUGGUACGAUAGUGGUAUAGUGGUGCUAUCAAAUUAAUGGGAUAAUGAAGUAGGAUUCAUUGGACGAGAGGGAAAAAUCUUCAAAAAAAGGAAAAAAAAAAGCGACGGGUAUUUCAAAAUGCUUAUCUAAAUUGUUUCUGAUCAUGAAUACAACUCACUAAUUUGGACACACUAAAAGAAGCCAUUAUGCAAAUCUUGUUGGUGAACAGUCUAAAAGAAGUCUUGGUAUCAACCAGGCAAAGGGGGUCAUACUUACAAUCAAAUCAUGGAGUCAACUUGUAAGUUAACUCUCAUCAAUAUCCCGAUUGGAGAAACACCAAAAUACCCUGAAAAUGGUGGGUCCAAAAUGUCCCUUUCAAGGCGUGUGUACACCACAUAAGAGAAUUGAAGGCCCCCACUAUCUGACUAUCCUCCAUUAAUGCAGGCCAAGCCCCUAAUUAUUUAGCAGGACUCCCUCAAAACAAGUUGGAUGGCACCUCGCUGGCCAGUUGUUUCGAGAUGGGUAUGCGGUGAAAUAUCAAUAAUAAAUAAUAAUGCAGUGUGUUUUUCACUGCUCAUUCACUUACAACUUACAAGUUUGAAUAAACAGGACUUUGCUUUUCCAUAAACAGAUAGCCUGUCCUGUGUUCCAUGUUCCAUGAGUGGCUUUUGUAUUUUGUCUCUUUGACAUGACUCCCCUUUCCCCUUGCAUCUUUAUUGAGUGAUUGCUCCACUGUGUAUAUAAUAAUAUUGAUGAGAACUGCCUCUUCUCUUGAGGGACUUGUAACUGAUUUAUGGUAAGGGGGGUAGUGUUUGUUGUGUGGCCCACACAUGAGUGAUGAAAACCCCUUUGAUGGGCCAAACUCUAGAGAGAAAGAGAAAAAAUCUUUGAAAUGGUAGGAUUAAUAGUUGUUUUUUGGCCGACAAUGUGUUGCUUUUUCUUGUCUAAUCCAUGGCACUAUGAAUGGAGAAGAACUAUUGCCAUCGAGAUGAUUUGGGACUAAGACGUUGGGGUAGCCUGAUUUCGUACCUUCUCUCCAAAUCACCUUUUAUUUGAGUAAAGAGGGAAAGUUUUUAGAGAGACCAAGGGGUAUCUACAAAACUAUGAAAUUAGAUGGAAGUUCUUAGGAUUAAGUAGAGGAUUUCUAAAGAAUUUUGUACAUAAUUUAUUUGUAAGUAAUAUGGAGUAUCCUAAAAUUGUGAGAAAUCAUUAAUAGUUCUAUAGAUGUAGCCAAGGCACCUAGUGCUCGCAAACUUCCAUAGUCUUGUAUAGCAUUUUUAUGUAAUGCAAACUUUUAUUCUUCUAAAACUCUAUGUAUUGUCUCUUUUGCUCAUUUUUAGUUUCUAUGUCACAUAAUAUUUAUUGUCAUUGCAAGUUAAGCUUAGGAAAUGUUGAUUUGAUAACUUCAAGCAUCUUAAGUUGUCUAAGUGUAGCGUAGUUGUUAGGAAAUAUCUAAGUUUGUAAUAAGUGGUAUUAGAACAUAGUUGCAAGGAGGGCAUUGCAACAAAGGAAGAAUGUCAAACUCUAACAUUAAUAAAAUGACUAAUGAUCAAUAAGCUUGUGAGAAGGAGACCAAUCUUAUCACACGUGGAGGAAGGAAUGAUAAGUCUCUUGACGUUGUUACAAACAUCAAAUCAAGGCUAGCCAAGGUGGAGCAAGCCACAACUUGAUGGAGCAAAGGAUAGAAAAUUGUCUAAUGGAUCUAAGGGAAUAGAUCCAAAAGCUCAUAGAUGGAGUGCUACAUUCACAAGUUCAACUAGUAUCACAUGGGAAACUUAUGUCCUUCCAAGCUAAUGUAAUGAACAUGCUUUCAAGCCUAGAGUCAAAACGAUGUGGCAACACGUAUAUAGAUGUGUGAUGUGGAGAAUUCUCAUGAGAUGAUCACCUAGAAGACUAUAGUUUUUGCCUGUGCAAUGGCCACUCAUGAGACACUUAAGGUGGAAGUGUCAAAACUAAAUGCCUUUAAUGGCAAGUGGGAUAUUAAAGAGCUAGACAACUUUUUGUGGCAUAUGAAGUGGUAUUUUGAGGUAAUAGUACUGAAUGACAAUAUUUGUUAGAAUCCUAGUUAUACUAAUCUAAGACAAUCACCUAAGAGGGAGGUGAAUAGGGUGAAUGUUCCUUUUUACAAAAUCAAACUUAGAAUUCAAGUGGCAAUUUUAUAUAAUAAUAAAACAAGUAUAAUAUGUCUUAGGUAAAGAAAGUAUAUAAAAUUGUGUGAAUGUCUUAGAUAACUCGACCUAUAUCCACUCAUCUCAAACUCUUAAUCAAGUGAGAGUUCCACUAACAAAGCUUCCAAACUCAAGCAUUCUGAUUGAAACCAAAAUAUGUGUUCUAAUAGCAUAUAUAUAAUAUGAUUUAUGCAAUAUAAAAAACUCAAAUCAUCUAACUUAAUUUUGAUCAAUUAUAAAACCCUAGUUAUGGAUUUAACUUUUUGAACCUAAUUCCAAGUUUAAGAGAUUAAAAAAAAUUAUAAGUGCAAAAGUCAUUAUCAACCAAGGAAAUAAAAGGGGUUAAACAUGCAUAAUUAAGAGACUUGAGACUUAUGAACCAUGAAGAUUCCAAGUAAGGGUGUGAUGAGUAACUCAUAGGCAUGAAAUACUAGCAAUGGAUGUUGAGUGAAAUAUGGGGCAAGCAACCAUAAUGGAAAAGGUUUGAAGCAAAUGUAAUCAAGUUCACAUGGAAAUUUGGAACUUAAAAUAUAGCAAUAGUACAUACUUUGACUUUUAAGGUAAAAUUUAGAGUACUUUCCAUGGUCAAUUUUGGGUAAGUUAUAUAUCGUUUCAAAGUUCGGGAAGUCAAAAGUCUAACGCUUUAAAUAAUGUAUAAAUCGGAACUAAAACGAAUAAGUUAUGCUCGUUUGAAAACAACUACGCAAAGGUAAAUGACCAUUUUGAAAUUCAACUUAUAUAUAAAUUCGAAAUCCAUUUCAAAAUUGCCUCAAUUUUGAAAUCACAUACUAUGACAUUGAUGUUUCACCUCCUCUACUUCAGGAAUUACAUAUUAGGCACUUCAUCUGCCUUAAGUGGGUCUCACACGACUAGACAUCGUGAUUUUAUUUUUUAUUUUUAGUCAUUUUUAGGUAAUUAUUUUUAAAAUAAGUGGUCAAUAGGAACAUGUCAUGUGUUAGGUUGUUUUGUGGAAACUAUAAAAACUCAAUUUUUAGGUUUUCUAAAGAGUUUUGAUUGUUUUUAGAUUGGAGAGAAGAAGAUGAAGUUAGGAUAUUGGUUUGUUCUCUUUUUCAUUAUUAUUAAUUAAUAUAUUAUUUUUUAUUUCCUUAAUUUUCAAGAAUGGUUCUUUAUCUUUCUUUAAUGAAUUGUGCUUGUGAAAACACACCCAUGAGAGAUUAAAGAGUUUUCUUAGGGUGUCAAGCAUGAAAACCUAGGGUUAAGGUUUAUAAGGAAACAAUGGGAAAUUGAACUCAAUAAUGGAAUGAAUGAUUGGUUAAAGGUAUAAUUAAUGAGAAUUGAGAUGCUUUCCAAGAUCGGUUUGAAUUAGGGGGUGGUUGUAACGAUCUACAUCCAAUCGUGUUGAUAUUGUUCGCUUUUGAUCCAAAGGGAUCCCCACAACUUUAAAACGCGUUUCGGAGUUUAGAAAUGGUUGUUCAGAAUGUGAGUCUAGUAUUUAUAUUUUAAUUAUUAAUUAUUUAUUUACUUUACUUGUAUUUUUAAUUUUUAAUUUUUAAUUAUUUAUUUACUUAUUUUAAGCCCAAGCCCAUAAUCAAAUAUUAAAAUCUUUUGGGCUUAGGUUGGUGCUACCAUUAUUUAAUCGACUCAACCAGUUGAGGUUUAGCCUCGAUCUAUUGAGGCUUAGCCUAAAUUGAUCGAAGCUUAACCUAAACUAAUUGAAAUAAGGUUCUACCAAUUUUAGGCAUUUUUACUCCCUUAAUCAAUUGAGCCUAAUCAACUCAACUAUUUCCCUUGUACCUUAAUCGGUUACAUUGAAAACAUAUAUUUAAGAUCAAAUCAAGGUUGAGAAACCUCAACUAAUAGUUCCUCAAUGUUUAAAAAACUUUUAAAAAUAUUUUAACUAUAUUAAAACUUAGGGUAUUUUCUCAAAUCAAAAUUUUUUUAAUCCAAUUUAUAAAAGAAUUCAAAACAAUUUAAUACUUGGAUAAUUUUAGUUGCUUAAGUAAAAAUGAAGUGUAUGACCUUAAUGCACCAACAACCUUAUAAAGAAAUCCCAGAGAAAUAGUCUUGAAUUGAUAUUCUCUUUGAGGUUUUCUCAUUCUUCUUAAUUUUCUUUCAACUUAAUUUAUCUUUGUGAUUAUCACUUUGAAAUCUUCUUGUCUAAGUACACUUAGAAUAAAUCAUUAAUUUCAAACCUUAUUUUAUCAUCAUCAAAACUAAGAUUAACCAAACCCUAGUUUCACAAGACUACCAAGAUUCAUAUCACAGUUCUCUAACUUCUUGAUAUUGUUACUCUAUGGUAGCACUAAAGGUUUGUCAAUGUAGACCUAUAUUAAGACUUGUCUUGUGUGCCAAUAAGAUUAGGUGGAACAACAAUUACCUAGAAGACUAUUAGAUCCACGCCCAAGUGACCAUGGGAAAGCUUCACCUUGGAUUUUUUUAUUGAGUUGCCUAAGUCAAAAUGCUAUGACUCAAUCAUUGUGGUGGUGGAUUGGUGCUCUAAGUAUGUAACAUUCAUAGUAGACCCUAUAAAUUGCAAUGUGGAGAAGAAAACAAAGUUGUUCCUUCAAUAUGGAAAAGUAUUAUGGGUUGUCAAGGUACAUUAUCAAUGUCCAUGACUUGUGCUUCCCUAGAAAGUUUUGGAUGAAGCUUUUCAAGACGAUAAGGUUAGAGAUUCACUGUUUUACUAGUUUUCAUCCAUAGAUAGAUGGAAAAACAGAGAGGGCGAAUGCCUUACAAGAACUGCACUUAAGGNNNNNNNNNNNNNNNNNNNNNNNNNNNNNNNNNNNNNNNNNNNNNNNNNNNNNNNNNNNNNNNNNNNNNNNNNNNNNNNNNNNNNNNNNNNNNNNNNNNNNNNNNNNNNNNNNNNNNNNNNNNNNNNNNNNNNNNNNNNNNNNNNNNNNNNNNNNNNNNNNNNNNNNNNNNNNNNNNNNNNNNNNNNNNNNNNNNNNNNNNNNNNNNNNNNNNNNNNNNNNNNNNNNNNNNNNNNNNNNNNNNNNNNNNNNNNNNNNNNNNNNNNNNNNNNNNNNNNNNNNNNNNNNNNNNNNNNNNNNNNNNNNNNNNNNNNNNNNNNNNNNNNNNNNNNNNNNNNNNNNNNNNNNNNNNNNNNNNNNNNNNNNNNNNNNNNNNNNNNNNNNNNNNNNNNNNNNNNNNNNNNNNNNNNNNNNNNNNNNNNNNNNNNNNNNNNNNNNNNNNNNNNNNNNNNNNNNNNNNNNNAUGAAGGCACGGAUGUCGGUGAUGGUAUGGUGGUAGUUGAAGUGAGCAAUCAUGCGGGUUCCAUCAGACAACCUGAGCUGGAUCGAGGUUGAUGGCAAUGCUUCAUCCACGAUCAGUCCCAUGUUAGGAGAUGGAGCGGUAUUGAGAGGAGUGGGAGCAACAGUGGGCUCGGGUUCUGGAGCUGCACUGCUGCUUCCUAAAGUUCGUCCCACCCCCUGAAAUGGAACCCGGGUCUUUUCUGAUUCCUGCAAGAAACUGAAAUAUUAGAAAAAGGAUAUGUGAUACAGGCUGUUGGUAGAAUUCAAAUCAUCUACAAGAUUGUAGAUUCCGACAGGUUUAGAACACAUUGAAAAGUACUCAAAUGAGUUCUAAGGAUAUAAACUAGUUUCAUAUUAAAUAGAAUUUCACUGUAAUAACCUUACUAGGUAUACAGGUAAAUUUUCUGACCGCUAUGGGUAGUGACAAACGAUCAUGAACAUGAGAAAUGCAACAAGUCAAUAUAUAAAAAUAGAGGACUCACGGGGCAGUUCUCAUCCCUCCUUAUGAGGUUGACAUGAACAGAGGACCUCCUAUCUGCAGGCUCAAGCUCUUUUGGACACUCUGACUUUCUGAUGCUCUGCAUUUAGAUGUAACAAACUAUUAAGAUCAACACCAAGCCAUAAUGCCUGAGUUAGUUUAGUUGUUGCAGAAAGUUGGAAUGAAAAUGAAGGGAAAAAUAUAUGUGCAGGAACUUAAGGUGUAUCUAGAAAAUGAAGGCUAAUAAAAGAUUUUUAAAACAAAUUAUGGUAUAACAUGGAAGGAGAAAUGAAAUGCAGCAUUUAUUUCAUACUCUACAUUUUACAAUACAAAGCACAAGGACAAAACCCUGUCAUUCUGCUCUGUUGCAGCACCUUGUUUGGUGCUUCUGAUUUUCAUCUUUUUAUCAGCAUUUUCCUUUACCUUUUUCAGGGAUGGAAUUGAAUUACCAUUACCUCUAGGAAAGAUGCAUUUUCAGGAUCAUCUAACCUCCUCAAGGGACCAUCAUUCACUGUGAAGCCAUUACUCCAAAAGACAAUGUUGUGAAUAACAGUCUCAGGCUGUUGAGGAGCAGUUGGUACUAAUUCCCCAGAAAGUAAUCUUCCAGUCCCAGUAAAGCUUCUUGAGCUUGAUGAAGGAUUUAUCAUGGGGCCUUCCACUGCUCCCAAUUGCCUAGCUUGAUUGAAAAUUGCAUCCACAUCAUUACCCUUUGAAGGGUCUUGGACUAGCAUCCCACUGCAGACGUUAUUAUUACUAAUGUUAGUCAAUCAUCAUUCAUUUGUUAAUAUAAUAUUAACAUUUGAUUAAUAAGAGCUGAAAUGUAAAGAUGACAUAAGUUAGUACAUAUAAUGAAAAAAUUAAGGACAGAGAUCACUAAUUCAAUAAGCUGUGGGACUAUUUAACUCAGCUUAGCAAGAAAUGUAAAUAAUAAUGAGGCCAACAUAUAAUCUAAUACCCUUGUUACAUGUAGAAAUUUGGGCAUUCCAAUAAGAAACACCUCUCUAGAUUGAUGUAUAUAGAGAAAGAGUACUGUCUUCAAUGCUCUUGUGUGUAUUAGCCAUACUUAAGCUUCUUACAACGAAAACUGAUUUUAAAGUACAGUUUCAUAGAAUUUGGAAAACAAAAAGGAAAAUACAGAAAUUUUAAGUGGCAGCGGCUUCUUGCACCAAGAAGACAGAGAGAAUGGAGCAUGCCUCAAUCAAUGUUUAUUCAAGGAUUUCAACUUGCACUUCAUCAGUCUAAGAAUAACUCGUAAAAGGGAACCAUGGUGACAAAUAGACUAUCUGACGUAUGCAUACUUGACUCAUGACAUGUAACGGAUACCAAAUAGCAGAAUUACUAGUUCAUGGUCUGAGCUCAUUACUGGCUCACCUUGACUAACGAUUUGUGGACCAAUAGAAUGUGUGUCAAUUAGGAUCAACAAGUUAGUGCCAACUCCGAGUGAAAUCAUUUGGGGUGUUUUGAAAUAAUAGUUAAAAUAAUGCAGAAACUAGAGUUCCAAUCCCAAGGGAAGGUUUUGUUACUUCUAAUUUCUUUAUACAAGUAAAAGCAGGAGAAUCUAUUGCAAAAAAAAUAACCGGUUAGGAAUUCCACAAAGCUGCAUAAAAUAUCCAAGACAAGGUUGCAAUAAAGUUUAGAACAUUAAAAUCUAUCCAGAAGAAAGAAUUAUUGACCAACCAGAAUGCAUAAAAAUAUUAGAGCUGCCAUAUCAGCAAAACUUUCAUUUUACCUCUAAUUUCUUCAUUGAAAUAGAAGGAAGAUAAAGUAAAUACACAACUUGUUAGAAUUCCAAAAAGCUGCACAAAAUAUCCAAAAUAAGUAUGAAAUGCAGUUUCAACCACUAGAAAUCUCCCCAGAAAAGACAAUUGUGAACCAACAGAAUGCAUGGAAGGUACAGUUCACAAAGGUACAAUUAUCUCCCUACCCCUUGGAAUAGGGGCAUGAUGCAAUCCAAGGCGCAUGCUUGCAUGAAGUGAGGCACAAGCUAGGGUACAUGCGCAAUUUCAUAAAAUACUGUAAAUUUGGCUCUAGUUUCACCAAAUAUGUUAAGUUAAAUUAAAAAAAUAAAAUAAAAAAUAGUGGAAACUAGUGCUGCUCUGCAGUGAGCUUAAAUAGAAGAAAUAAAAACAUAGACAAGGUGUGCUUCCUCAAUAAGGCAUGCCCUUUGCCAGGAGAAGCACCACAGUAGGGCAAUUAGUGGGCCUUGGGCCUAGGUGUGCCUUUAACAACUAUCUUACUAUACAAGAUAUUUGCACCCUUAAUUUCACUCCCAUAAAAUUCAUGAUUGUCAUUCUUCAUGCAACAGUCCAACCACCAGCUACAUCAUUUAAACCAUUACACUUCCAUGUAUUCUUGACUAGCUCCAACAACCAUUUGUUGAUGUUUCCCCUUUCUUUCACUAUUCUCAACAUGUUUUAACUAGGAGGCAGAUGACCACCAAUUAAAUUCUUAGCAGCAGCACACCAUCUGAAUAAAACAUCCAAGCAGUCUCACCAUGUAACUUUCCUCAACUCCAAGGUAAAAUGCAUUCUUUAAGUCUAUAUCUCCCUCGGCCUUUCUUUUUCUAGGUUCAAAGCCUCCUGCCUGACUGACCUAGGUCUACUGUUCCCAUGCCCAAUCUUUGAUUUAAAGGUAAGGGUGGUUGGCCAAAAAGCAAGAGAUGGCAAAGGUACUUAUUUUGGCAUAGCAUUUUGACCUCAAUUCUGCUUUUUCCACUAUAUUUUGCAUUUCAAAAACAUGUUGGGAUGUCAUUGCUGGGAUUCUUAAUGAAUGCAACUUAACUCCAGAAUACGAUCCCUUGUAAGUCACCUGACAGAAAUCACAUAAAACAGACAGUUUCCUCCCCCCUUCCCCAGUUUUAUCUCAUCACGUAACAUACUUCCAAAGUAGGUACAAUCACUUUGUCCAUUGGAAUCCUAAUACAACCAGUGAAACCCAAAAUUCUGGAAUUCAAUUCCUAUGGAAUAAGAAUUUAGCAAAAGAUUUAACAGGAUGAGUGGCAAAUCAAAUAUAUAUAAUGAAAUUCUGAUUUUACACUAAGGUUCUUUUUCCUUUUUUGGCUGGAAAUGGAGAGACCUGAACCUGUAUUAAAUCCUAAUUGAAAAGGCAAGAUAACGAAUAGUUAUUAACACACAAGAAGCAAGGUGCAUAAGAGAUAAAAACAUGAACUAAUCCCCAAAAGCCCUAGCAACCAAUGCAUAAAAACAUCAACCAAACCAACACCCCCCAACUCCCAACACAAGGGCAUUAGUUUUUCCCCUAAUCAAUAAGGGGGGGAGGGAAGGGUGUCUCUCUCUCUCUCCCCCUUUCUUUUCCUCCACCGAACAGAGAAAAAGAAAAAGGGAAAAGAACUCUUUCGAAGCAUACAUUGAACAUGUAGCGUUACGAGACUUCUUCUCAACCCUGGCACUUCAAAAUGAUAGCAAAACUUCAGUCCACUCUAAUUGAGAAGCUGGUUUAAGUCAUAAUACCAGUCUCAUGGAACUUGAGCAUACAAAUCAUGUCAACAAAGAUAAAUCUAAAUUCAGCAAAAAAAAGGCUUCAGGACCAAUCACCAAAGUUCAAUAAAACUAAUUUGAUCAUCAGUCAUCAAGAUUUCAAAAGUUUUCAAGUUAAAAAUUUCCCCAUCAAUUACAGAUCCAACAAAAGUGCUUUGCAUUACUACACUCCAACAUAUGCUUUCACGAGGAGCUUAUGCAAGGGUAACAAUAUCCAACAGCCAUAAACUUAUAAACAACCAAAACUUGACUUUUAGGUCCAUGGAGAAUCACAACUCAAAAUUUCAAUACAAUCAACCUUCUGUGAACUGUUAGAUAUGACCAAUGCAACAAAACAUAGGAAAAAGUCCAUGUCAUCAAUUGUAUAUUAAAUCUACAGUAAUUCUGUUGGGGAAAGCACAAGUGAUUAUGGAUUAUACACAAUUUGGGUGGAAAAGCAGUCCAAAACGAAGUUACCAUCCUGAUUGUGGUUAGAGAUGAGUGAAUGAAAUACUCUUCAAUCUUUACCAUAAGAAUUAAUUCAAUUUGGAAAGAAAAGUUAAUGGGUGAUCGCCAAAAGAAGCACCUUGCAAUCAAACCCCCAGGAUUUAGAACCACAACCUGAACCUUUUUUCUCUAAAAUCUCAAUCCCAAGGUAAAAAAAUUCGGGCCUUUUUCUUCUUCAUGCACCACCGUUUGGUUGCUGACAAAACAAUUAUCCCCAAAAAAGGUAAACAUCAUCUCAACUCAACCAAACAGGCAACCAUGAAAAACCUAACCCACAAUAAAUAAAUAAAUAAAAUUAAUAUUUUUUUUCGUUUCCUUCAAUUUCUCAGCCACCAAACAGGAAAACAAAAAAUCCACAUAGAGAGAGGGAAAAAACUAGGGCUAAAAAGAAACCUCUUCUCGCCACCGGUGUAGUACUCCUGAGGGCCAUCGGAGUCGCUGUCGGAGUCCGGAGCAGUCGGACGAUUCAAAUCGGAGAGGGUUCGAAUGCCACGACUACUGGAGGGCUUCGACGAUUUCUUAUCCCGGGAAGCCAUAGAAGACUCAGAGAAGAUAAUAGCGAAGAGUAUGUGAUGCGAUCUGGGGUUUAACCUUUAUGCUUCAGACUAUAUUCCAAGCUACCAAAGUUUAUAUAUAUAUAUAUAUAUAUAUAUAUAUAUAUAUAUAUAUAUAUUUUUUUUUUUUAUUUUUUUUUUUUUCUGAUAUUUUAUUUUUAAACUUUUUAAAAAUAUUUUAGAUGGAAUAGAGAAUAUUUUUGUUCAGAAAAAAAAUUAUAUUCUAUGAUUUUAAAAGGAAACAAUUUUCAAACUCUCAACUUCAUAUUUCAAAAAGAGAACUACAGAAUAAAUUCAUUAAUUUGAAAAAAUAUAUAUUUUAAAAAUAAAUUUUUAGAAUUAUUUAAAAAAAUAUCUUCGUAAAAGUAUAUUGCCCAUAUUUGUAACGUAAAAAUCUUAAAAUAUUCUUUAUAUUUUCAACUAUUUUUUAAAAAACACAUUUAGAAAGGUAUUUUCAAAAAAUUAUUUUUAAUUCAAAACUUAUUAAACGUGUCUUCUAAAUUAAAAAAGUAUUAAAAUACUGAAAUUAUAUUAAUUUAUUAUAAAAACAUUUUUAAAAUGAAAUUUCCAAAUAUAAAUUCAAUUGCAUAAUAAUAAUAAUAAUAAUAAUAAUAAUAAUUCUAUCCAAUCUCUAAACCCAAAGAUUAAUAAUUAAUAUUAACUCAUUUGUUUUUCUUUUCUUUUCUUUUUUUUAAAAAAAAAAGAGAAUCUUAUAAAAUUCUAAAUAUCCUUUUAAUAUUUAAAACAUAAAAGUUAUGAAAGGAAUCAUCAUCCAUGUUCUAACUUCUAACCAAUCAUCAUCAUCCACAUCUAACCCGUCGUUCUUUUGAUCUAAUCAUCAUCCACAUCUGUUGCUCUCUUCAUCUAAUCAUGGGAUAAUUUAAAUUAUUCUACAAAUAGAAAAUUAAAUAGGCUUUACAAACCAUAUGGGUCACUCUAUUUCAUAAUCAUUUGAUUGUUACACCUCACAAAAAACCCAAGCUUCUCGGCUUUUCUUUUUAGCAUCUUCACUAAGUUGGGAAAAAAAAUUCUUAGAAAGGGAAAGUGGUAAAUGUAUCGAGGAAUUUACAAAUGAUUUUGGUAAUGUUUCUAUAUUAAACAUGUAUUAAAAUAAAAAUAAAAAUUGAAUUUAUAUUAAAGGUAUAUUUAACAAAAUACUUUUUAUGUAAGUAUAAUUAUUAUUAUUAUUAUUAUUUUAAAUGUAGUUACAUUCCACGAUGGAAAUCAUCUUAAAUGUCUUUUAUAUAGAUUUUGAGGUAGGAAAUUGUUUUUUUAAAAGAUAAUUUCAGUAUUUUUUUAAAAAGAAAAAAAUAUAUUUCUAUGAUAAUUUCAUACAAAAUCAAUUUGCACCAAAAUUGUUUUUUGGAAUAAUAAUUUUCAUAGAAAAAGUUAUUUUCUGUAUGUAUGUAUAUAUAUAUAAAUUAAAAAAAAAAAAACAAAGGGUUUAUAUUGAAACUUGUUUUUUAACCUAUAUAAAACACUAUAUGGAAUGUGUCUUUUGUAAUUUUCUAUGUGAAAAACCAUAUGGAAGGUGUUUUUUAAUUACAUUUCAUGUGGAAAAAAGUUCUUUCAGAAUAUUAUAAAUUCAAAAUUUUAUUUUAAAGUAUGAUUAAUUUGAAAAUUAUGCAAAUUAUAUCUUAAAUAAACAACUUCCCUCCCUUUCAAAGGUGCCUAGAGGAAAUGCUAAACGCAUCUUGGUGAAUUUUAAUCUCAAUAAGAAUACUAGUUUUUACUGUUCAUAUGUUAUAAUAUGAAUAUACCACAUAAAUUUGUUAUGUAUAUAAUGAGAUUCCAUAGAUAUGGAGUCAAUUCCAAUAGAUUUAUUAGAGGGUCUCAUUGGCAUGCAUCUAGUAGGAAUUCCCCAAUUAUAAGUUGGGCACUUUAAUCAUUCAACCAUGAAUGUACAAUGGGGAUCCUCAUGCAUGGUGAAUAACCAAAAUCCAAUUGAAAUGAAAUCUUUAUGAUAAAUCAAUGUAAUUUAGAAAUAAUCAAUAAAGCAUCAACCUAGGUGGAUUUGCCAUCGGUAGAAGGACAGGAGACGGUUAUCGUAGGGCACAUUACGACUUAUAAGUAAUAUGGAUCGGCGAACUUAAUAGCAUAUAAUAUCUGUAAUAUAUUGAAGAGGUAACUUUCAAUGCAACCAAAAUUACCUCUAAAACUUUUCUUAAAUAUUUUUUUUUUUCAAUUUGCUGAUGUCAAAGAAAACCUAAGCAACUAAAACUCAUAAUUUGUCUCUUCAAAAGCAAGUAAUAUUUUCAAUUUUUUUUUUCAAAUUACCUUUCAAUUUGAAAUUUUUAUUUAUUUUUAUAAUACUCAUGAUUUAUCUCUUGAAAAGCAGCUAAUUUUGUUUUUUUUUUAAAAAAAAUACAAAUCUUAAAAACCAAGGGUAGAUUAGUACGUAAUUAAAUAUUUUUUAACAUACGAAAAAUAUCUUUACUUUUAAUAGAAAUAUUUUGAAAUAUAAUUCCUAGAUUUUAUCACAAAAAUGGUAACUUCUUAAAGUCAAUAAGUAAUAAUUAAUAAUUGAAUUUGGGUUUGACUACAACCUCGAAUUUAAUGAUACUUUUUCAAUAUUUUUAGAUUUCAUUUAAUUUCAUUAAUUGGACCUUUUUAACCAACUAAAUCUCACAAUACGCCGGAACCAUAAUAAUUUAUUGGAUUAAAGACAGUGGAGAGUGAGUCACCGGAAGUCCCACAGUAAACUUCCCUAUGGCGUAAAGCCAUAUACCAGAAGCUCCGACCCUACCACUCCACUCUCCACCCACUAAUGGACGGUCCAAUCCAACCCAACCGAGGCUCAGGCACCGGCGACAAGCGUCUAAAGUACGCCUUUGACGCCGGCUUCUUAUCCGGCGCCCACCCUCCCGACACGCCCGUCACCGUCGACAGUGACAACAGAGACUCCACAAUUCCCCUCGGUUCCACUUCGGAGAGCUGCGACUCCGCCGACGAAUCGAAGCGGCUGGCGGAUCUAGCCGCGAGCUUCCGAGUUUUCUCGGAGUCGCUGGCGAGGAUGGAGCUGGCGGAGAUGGAGAUGCUCAAGGCGAGGGAGGCGUUCCGGCUCGAAGCGGAAAAGCGGCGGCUGGAAUCCGAGGCGGAGAUGACUCAGAUGCUGUUGCAGACUCAGCUGCAGAUCGCAUCGCUCGUCUCGCGGAGUCCGAGCCGGAAACGAAAGCGUGGAGAAGAAGAUGAUCCAUCGAUCUCCGAAAGGUAAGCUCCCGAAUGCCGCUCUGUCUAGAAAGUGGUUGAGCCCGUAACUCGGCCGAGUCACUAACUAUUUUUCAUUCGCUGAGUCAAAUGCAGGGAAGGAGGUCUGCUCCUGAGUUACUGCAGUGCAACUUGCUCCUCUGAUCUCUUGAGGUUCGAAACAUUUAAGUUCAAACUAUGAAAUGUACCUAUAUUUUGAACACUUAGCCUACAAUGGCAGUCCAAUUAUUAUCAGAUAUGAUCUCAAACACAUUUCAACUAACUUCUCAAUAUCAAUUUCUUUUUCAGUCGCUUGUAUGAAUUUAUCUAUAGAUCAAUGGAAAACCAAACCUAUCAUGUUUGGUUGUUAUUAUAUGAAUCCAACUACACACCCACCUGGCCUCUGAUGUACCAUAUUCAGCUGAAGGCUAACUGGGGCUGCGUCUGAUUACGGUUAGAUUUUUCGGUUUUCUGGUCUGCAAUGCUGAGUAGAGUAUUCGCCCGGGUUUUAGCACUUUCAAUAUACACUUGGAUGGGGGGUAGAAUCACUUGGUCUCCAUCCUUUGGGGCUUGGCCUCGAAUCACCUAUUGGAUUGAUCAACUAGGGUUUAUUACCAAUACUACGGCAUGAAGAAAGCAAAGAUCAAAGAGAUAGCCAUUACUCAUUACCUUCGAUGCCCAAUGCCGCUCUGCUUGUUGACAGAUGUCCCUGAUAUCCCUUCCAGACAUGCUGGAUACAAUACAUGACGAUAGUAGGGUAAGAAAUUCGCCCAUCCCAAUUAAAGUAAUAGUCUAGCAUAAUAAAUUUGCAUAUGAGAAAAAAAUGAUGGGUUAGGAAUAGAACGGUGAAUUCUAUUCAUUCAAGCAGUUCCGGUUUUUGAGUAAGGGAUUUAGGUGGCCUCAUCUAUUGUUGUGGAACUUACCCUUCUGUUGCUGUGGCAAAUUCAACUAAUUCGGACUCUGUCAGAUGCUUUGCAAACUGAGCUGCUAUUUUCUGACGAUCAUGGUUGUCAGGUAGGCCAAAGGUGAUCAUCGAAUCAAACCGACUGAAUGAAGACACAUCAAACAUGUUAGAGAACACCCCACCAGCAUACAAUUCUCGUAAACAUGUUCAUCUAUAUACCUCAUCAGAGCAGGAUCAAGGUCUUGCUUUCUAUUUGUUGCUGCAAUUACCACCACUUUUUUAUCCUGCUCAAAUCCAUCAAUCUACACAAAAAAAAAACGAGUUUUAUUUAAGGCGCUACAAUAGCUAGAUCAACCUUAAAAAAGAAAUUAAUCCCUAAUUUUACAUGAGAGUUGGGUACACAAGGAAAUGCAUAGCUACAAAAACUGGAUGAAUGGUCUGCAAAAACUUGGCAGAAUAUGGCUACAAAAAAUCCCAGUUCUCUUUGUACCGCUGAGAGCUUGGAAUUGUGCACAACAGGUGCUCACAGGCAAGGAAAUCUAAGAUGCAGUCUCCAGCAUUUGAGGUAAAUAACUGGGAACAACCAGCCAACAUGUGUACAUCUGUUUUGUGUAAAGGUCUACUGAAUGCUUUCCAGUACAAAUUGGAAAUCAAACAUAAAGGAUAUUUCGAUGACAGGGGGUAGUACUAGACAAAUACAUAUUGAACCGUAAUAACACUUUUCCUAUGGAGUUUCAAAUAAUUAUUUGAAAGCCCCUAAGGCCUGGCUCAAGUGGUAACCGGGUUAGGAUGGCCAUGAAAAGGUUCAGGUCCCAUUCCAUGAGCCUAAAAAAGUGCUCAUAAAAACUGUAUAUAUAAGUACAAUUCACCUGUCGCAAUAUCACUGAUAAAAUUCUUCGGGUAGCCUCAUGCAUUUCUCGACUACGAGAAACAGCAAAAGAAUCAACCUGUAGAAGUUUUAAGCGGAAGUCAAGAUUACUGAGAAAGUUCAAUUGAUGCGACUGCAUGUAGAAUGUAAGACUAGCGCUUGCACUAUUAUGAAAAAUCUUUCAGAAAAGAAAUGGCUUAAAGGUAAAUAGAUGUUUCUUCAAUAAAUUUUGGAAAACACCCCUGGGAAGGAAUUAGUUGCAUCAAUUACCUCAUCUAGAAAAACAAUGGCACCUUCUGGGAACUCAUUGGCAUGCACAAACACUUUCCCUAGCAAGCGCUCACUUUCACCGUAGUACUUUGACAUAAUAGAUUCCAGUGGCAGGUAAACCAAUGGCACACCCUGCCAUGAAAUAGCACAUAUUAAGUAUUUCAGUCAACCACACAUGCUAAUAAUCUUAUAGAGAUGCAGAAAAUACACAAACAAAGAAAUUAUUUUAUUUGGAAGCUAAAGAUUUUAAGGGAGCACGAUACUUUUUUCUGCAUAAAUCCACACAUCAACAAAUACAGCAAGCAUUCCCACAAUGCAAUGUUAGCCUUAUUUGCAGUUGCAGAACAAAAGCACAGAUGCUGCUUGCUGCAUAUUCAGGGGACUCAUUGCAGGUUCAACAAUAGCAUGCAUUGUUCGUGUUCCCUUUUUUUUUCCUUGUUUUUCCUUUUUUAAAGGCAAGUGUCAGUAGUGAUGUCUUCUUCAGAUUAUGAAAAUGCACCAAAAAUAUAUGACCAGGCAGGAAUAUGUAAAUAGGACCCAAAAGGUAACCACUAAGAUCGUUGAAAAGGUUCCCAAGGCAAAACCCCAGCAGAGGAACAAAAUAUCUCAGAUAAGGGCAUGUAAAAAGCAGUUCCCAGAGGGAGAUCAUAGCAUCUGGCAAUUGUAUGCCUGUAAAAAAAGAAAGGCAUCUGGCCAUUGCAUAAAAAUCCCAAAUUUACCAAGCUAAUCAAUCAAUGAUGCUACCAUCAAGUUGAAGAUUUUUCUAACUAGUAACUUAGGACAACAGUUAUAUAAAAUUAAUAGAUCAAAAACUAUAUUCAGUCAAAUGAUAAGAAUUUGAACAAAGAAAAUUACAAAACCUUCAGACCCAAGCAAGAAUUUAAAUUUUCAAUCCUAUUUCCAUAACAAGGUUCAUCAUAAAAUAGCAGUCAAACAUAGAAAGUGUAUAUACGUGGCAUUUGAUAAAGAUAAAAAAAAAAAAAAUAUAAAGGUUCAGUAUGAAACAAAUAAAACAACUAAUGAGGUUGUCAUUUAAGUGCACGGUAGCUUACUGCUUGAUUAGCAAUUACACGAGCACAAGACGUCUUCCCUGUACCUGAAGGCAAACAUAUACUAUGAGUAAGCUUAUGCAACCUCUCAGACAAACUGAACUCCGGGCCAAAAACUAGAAGCAUUGACUCCAUUUUCACUCCAGUUGAAUUCCAAAUGCAUGAAAGACAGUUCCAAAACAACAGUAUGCAAUGCUUACAGAAUCAUAUGAUCAACAUCAUUGCAUCAUGUUAAGCCUCACCAUACAAAAACCAACAAAAGUCUGAAUUACCUUGAGGUUUUUAUGCAGAAUGAAAGGCAAGCUACAGUUUGCAGUUAAAGUUUGCCCUUGUUGCUUUUAUUCAAGUUCCAUAGUUCCCAAUACUAAUAUGAAGGGCAAACAAACAAUUAUCUUCACUAAUAAUAAUAUUAAGCAAUGAACAUUCUGAUAUGGAUAUAUUAUAAUAGUGAGAAUAAUUUACCAAAAAGUCAAGCAACAAAAACAAUCAGUUUAGUGUAACAGGAACACAUGAAAGGCAAGGCCAUUCAAAAAACCAAAUAAUACAGAAGCACUAAAUUAUAUCCUUCCUCCUAACUGAAUCUUGUGCAUGAGGCUGGGUUCUUCUUCAAUCCAAAGAUUGCUAGACUGAGGCCAGAACUAAGCCAAUUUGUCAAUCCCUUGUUUUAAGUGUGUACCAGCCAUGGGUUACGUCCUGUCAUCAUCUUCUGCUUGGUGGUUGCAGAAAUCUAACCUCAAGACAAAGUGGUUCUUACUAUAUUCAAAUUCAAUAGUUAAAUGGUUCCUCGUAAUAUAAUUGUUCAUCAAAUAGCAAACAUGCCAAGAUGAUGUCUUGAAAUUUCAUGAACUAAAUAAAAUUAUAAUAAAAAAUCUUGAAUGUUUUUGGCAUAAAUUAUGUGCUGCCAGAGUCUUGAAUUAGAUUCAAGAAAGGAUGCCAAGCAUGCUAUUACUUACAAGAAAAAACAAGAAUUGAAGUCAAGAAUCAACAAGUAAAUUUCCCAACAAUAUGGAGCAAGAACAUAAAACUUCCAAUCCCCCUCAAUAGAAUAAUGAACAAACAAUACAUCAAAUGCAUUCUUUGAAUUUUCAAACUGUAUUGAUCCCAAAAAUAAAUAAAUCAACAAAUCCAUUCAGGAAUACAAGGCAAACCUGGAGGGCCUUCAAACAGAACAGCUCGAGGUCUGUUUGACUCAAACUUCUGCCGGGUCCCACGAGCAACAUCAUCAUAUACAUCAGGACUAUGCAGAGCAAACACUAUCUCAUCUUCUAUUUGUCUACAGAAUUAACAGCAAAAGACAAGUGUACAUUAGCUUUUUCCUGUAGAAAUGCAGGCAUGUAUGCAAACUGAACAUGCACGUUCAUAUACGCAUAAACAGAAGAAAAUGUCAAGAAGUCAAACUUAUUUAAGUAAAGAAUUUCAAAAAGUCACAAAAUACUUAUAAGAAGUAUUGAUAGAAAUGUAAGUACACUUUUAAUUGUUUCCUAUAUGUUCAAAACAAAAGUACCCAAGGAGUCCGAUAAAACAAAAUCCCUCAAAAAUAAACAAUAAGAAGUGCUUAGAAGCCUCAUGCAGUAAAUUUGAGGAGAAAAGCAAAAUGGCCAAUAUACUAAAAUUCUGUAAGAUGUUAAUAUAGAAAAAAGUGCCAUGCAUCCUUGUGCUGUGAAUCUGAUGUCAAAAGAAAAGAGGGAAAACACUGUAGAUCUACCUGAAUUUAAAAACACUAUAUUUCUUUUUUUUUUUGAUAAACCAAGAGAAGAAAUCAUAUUAGAACACGCCAAAAUAGGGGGCACUCCCUAAGUACACCGGCAGUAUACAAAGAAGGCCUCACCCAAGGCAACAAAGGAGAAAAACAAAAACCUAGAAAAGCCAAAAAAGACCAACAAGUCAACCACCCAACAAAUUCAUAAAAGAGAAAAAGUCCACGUCCAUGAAUUGUUGAGACCAUUCAAGAAGAGCCCGAAGGAAGAGAUUCUUCAAACUCAUAUCUGACUUCUCUUCUUCUUGAAACAUUCUUCUAUUCCGCUCUCCCCAAAUACACCAAAACAAACAAAUAGGCACCAUUUUCCAAACUACACUUCUCUUAUUUUCUAGGCCCUUAAUUUUCCAUUCAAGAAGCAAAUUUCUCACUGAGUUCGAGAAUACCCACACCACCCCAAAAGAGGAGAGCACCACAGUCCAAAGCUCCCUUGUCUUACCACAAUGAAUUAGAAUAUGAUCCGUCGAUUCCUCACUCUCUUUACAAAGAACGCAUCUAUAAAUACUGUUAACAAUGUGUAUCAUACAAAUAAAGUAAUUACUUAAUUAUUCAUAAAUUGAAUUAAAAACAACCUGGAUAUUAUUUUCUCAUGCUGAAUCAUUAGAGACAUUGUAUAGCAUGUUUUUUCCCUUCCCUUUUUUCCAUUUUUUUUUAUAUAUUUUCUAUAUUCCGCAUAGUUGUCAAUUACAUCCCUUGUCACAUAUAUUUGUCAAUUAUUUCAACAUGCAGCCAUGGACAUCCCAUGUUCAGUUUUAUUCUUAAAAGGAAAAAGUGAGGGAACCAAAAUUUGCAUCAUUGUUUGCUCUCUGCCUUCUCCAGACAUUAGAAUCAAAGCCACCUUAUGAUGAUGGAAUUUUAGGCUUGUAUUUCAUAGAACUUGGAAGAUAACCAAAACAUAACAAUGAAAUGCUAUUAAUCUCGGACUUUACAUACCGUUUUUGUUGGUCAUAUCCAGCAAUAUUGUCCCACAACACCUCAUUCUUAGAGAGACCCCCUUGGGGUUCAUCAGCUCCAAAAACUCUCACUCCCAUGGCCUCAAGACUAGCAAUUGAUUUUUGUGCAGAAUGCAUCUGAGGAGCAUCUCCUCUUGGUCUUCUUUCCAAUGUUUUGUUUUGUUCCACUCUUCCGCCAGCAAAUUGUAACACAGAAACCAAGGCAUCAAGCUCCUCAGAACUGAAGCUUCCUUGCUUUAUGAACUCAAUUUCCUGUAAUUAUUUAAUCUAAUUGAUAUUAAAACUAAUGGUUGACAAAUUUGUUAAUGCAAGCAAUAAGUAACACAACCAAAUGAAUAAUAAAGGCUCAAAGAAAAAUCAUGUCAUAGGCAGCAAGAAGUGGAAAAUAACCGCUUUGUCAGCACUGAUGAGCGACUGAAAUAUGAGAAUGCAGAGAUCUCCCUCAUUUGCAUUUGUAUACUGUGAAUGCACCUGUUCUGCUCCAGUUUUAUUUUGUUUUCCCAGACGACUAAGCAUUAGUUGCCAAGCAAUUCCACUGAAAUAGCAUAAAAGAGACCAUAAAUAGUUAGUCAUGGGCAGAGUUAUCAAGAAAUACAAGUACAACAAGCUGUGUCUAUCACCACCAAGGAGAGACAUAGAUUGAAAAUCAAACCGAGUACAGAAGUGGGAAUGGACGAAAAUUAAAAAUUAAUGCUUCAGUCUAACCUGUCCCAAGCUCGCAUUAUCAUGUCGGAACCACCACUACGCUCUUCAACUUUCAUUCCAAGCUGUGCAACAAGUUUUGCAAUCAAGCAUGGAACUUCACAUGUAGGAGGAAUUUGGAACUUGAUCGUGACCUAUAACAUAGCAUCUGGUCCUAUUAGAAGAGUUUGGAAACAUUAAAAUAAAUACUGGCUACUGAUGGAAAAGAACAUACAAACUUGUCUCUUCAAAAAAAAAAACCAGUAGUGUGUACUCAUACAUAACAUAUAUUGAGAAAAUGCAUCCUAAAAAUCAUAAGAGUGACUGAAAGACAAAAUGCCUUAAAAGAAACCAAGGAAAAUACAAAGAUAUCAGGUUAUUUUCAAUAACCAUAAUGGUGAUGAUCAAAAUCACUUGCUUUACAAUGAUGAUGAUCGACUUCACUGGCUUAUCAGCAACAUAGGAAAAGAAUUAAGAAUACUGUACAAUUAAUUUUGAAAUCAAUGAGAGACAUCUAUGCUUCUUGAAAAGAAGGCCUUCAAAGAAAAGCAUACUUAGGUCCCAUCAAACCUACAAUCUCUUGACUGAGAUCCCAUCCCACACCAGCUGACCUAAUGGAGCAAUUGCAUUGCUAAUGAGUACAUAAAUAAGCUCCAAGGAGCCAUGCCAGUGGCAGUUGUGUCUUUAGCACAAGGUUCCUACAUGCCAUCCAGGCAUCAUGGAUCACCAAAAAGUGUACUCUGGAAUGAAGUAAUGAAGCAAGUGAAUGCUAGUUGUUAUCUUUACAGGUGAAAUAUUCAUGUAUCAACUUGAAUUAAACAAAUGUCCAUGUUCAGUGACCAUUGCAUGGGGUAAUCAUGAGCAUUUAGAUUACUUGUCCAUUAUCUAGCAAGCAGAUGAAUCUGUUAUAAUUAUAGGGAUGUCAGACUAAAAAUACUCGAGCAGGACAAAUAACUAGAAAAGAUAUUGAUUGUUAUAUAUUGUGGCUCAACACUAGACUUGGAAAAAGAUACCUACAUGAAAAAUAAAUGAAACCUUCAUAAUAAUGCAGAAAAUAUUAAAUACCAUUCAUGGCCAUUUACAGUCACAAUCCAUAAUCAUUUUGAAGGUUUUCGGCCAAUAGCGUUAUUUUACAUUAAGCCUAUAUUCAUCAUUAGUGACAUUCAGUUUUACCAAGGACAGAGCAGAAGUCACCAACAAAUCUAUAUAUCAAGCAUAAUCUCAAUACCAUUCUAGAAGAAUUCAUGGUAAUAACCUUUUGGCCCUUAAGAGCAACGGUAAAACGUGGAUAAGAACCGUAUUUCAUUCCUUUAGUUCUAAUUAACUCUUCUAAUCGAUCUCGUAAUUUUCUGGCAUUUUCCUCCAAAUUUGUGUAACUUGGAGGAGAUUCAGAUGGCGAAGGACUUGAUUGAGAGGGCAAAGGAGUUUUAUCAGCACCCUGCAGAAAUAUAAAUCCACAAUAUGUAAUCAACUCAAAAAAUGCAACUGUAAUAGAGUAAGUGCUUGCAAAAUUUUACAAUGGGACAUAACUUUUUCAUCUACAUGAAACAGAAAAUGUUUCACAUUUGAUGUUUUAUAGUGAAAAAAAUAUAUUGUGAAAUAUGUAUGAACACAUACAAGCUAAGAGAGAAACAGAUUGAAAGCCAGAGGGAGGAUAACAAAUUGAAGAUAAAAAAGAACAAGAAUAUAAAAAUUGCCUUCGCACCCAAAUAUAACACAAUUAAACCUCCACAAAAAUAAUAACACAAACCGGGUCACUCUCUGCAUGAGCAAUUUCAAGCAAUCCAAACCCAAACAAACCAACUAGGACUGAUGGAACUAUAGAAACCGAUACAGGAGGCAGCUGGGCUUCAGAUAUUCUGGGAUUAAUCUGUUGUUCAAAAGGCCCUGCAUAGAAGUAUCAAUUUACAUGGAACAAAAUAUAGUCAGUAUAUCACUGUCAGACCCAUAUAGUUGGAUAAGAAAAUGGUGAGUUUUUUUUUUUUAGGCAAAAGCAAUUGUAUUAAGAGCACCUAAAGAAGGGCACCCAAAAGUAUACAAGAUGUAUACAAGGCACCUAGGGCAAAAAGAGGAGGAAUACACAAAAAACAACAUCCUCACCUUAUUUGCAACCCAAGCAAUCAAUAAAAUCAAAUAAAGACAACAAGCUAAAACCUAUGUGCACCCUUACCCAAUCCAAAAACAUGUACAUAAAGGACCAUAAAAUAGAUUGGUCCACCAAUUUGGAAUCAUCAAAGGUUCUUCGAUUU
rnacentral:lncRNA from 1 species